CUAGGUUUACUCAACCUAGAAUCAAAAAUUACAAUCGAGUGCCCUAAGUUUGAAAAUUUGAAUAACGAACAUGAAAUUAACAAACCCUUUCUGAGUUGCUGUAAAAACUCUGUUAUGUUAAACAACCAUCAAGAGAAAGAGGAUGAGAUUAUAUUUACAAACUAAUAUUUUUUUUAUAUUAAUAUCAAUCGAACAGUGUUUUUGUUCAUCGAAACCACUGAAUUUAAUCAUACACGUUAAGUUAUAUAAUUAAAACCAAUAGACAGUUUUUACUUUUUAGCUAUGAGAGAAAGUGGGUCUAGAUUCUGUAGGAAUUAUAGUGAAAGUUAAUAAAAAUUUAGCGGUAGGUAGAAUUAUUUAAUGGGAUAAAUAUAUUUAAAGAUAUUUUUUAUAGUUGUAAUAUCAUAAUUAUCAAGCGUUAAAAAAAUACAUUUAAAAUGUUUUAAAAUUGUAGUUCUUAAUCAAAGAAAUAAAUAGUUAGACAUGACAUUUAUCAAUAGUUCAUGAUCUAUUUUAAUAUAAUAGAUAUUUAGACUAAAUUCAAGCUUCAUAUAAUAAGAACAGAAAUUGGUGAGAAUGCACCUAGUUACUAAUGUAAUGUGUCAUGUACCAUUUGUUUAGAAAUAUAUUUGUAUUUGACGGUUUUGUCCCUGUCACAUACGCCGAUCUACACUCAAUAGGUCUGGGUCGGGUGUGGCUGAAUGUCUGAGGACUGUCUUCAACCCAUUGGACAAAGAAAGGUUUCAUGCCUUUUCAGAUUCUGCAAUUGAAAGAGCGUGAGGCUACUCUGUGGUUUUCAAGCAUCGAACAGUUGCAUUUAUUCACACAUUUCCAACCACUCAUUCGUCUCCUAUAUACAUAAUUUUGGUCAUAAUACAUUCUCAGCCUCCUCAAGUAAACCCUAAAUUACCCAAUCGUCCCAAUUCUUCUCCCAAAUCGUUGAGAUGGAGGAUCUUUUGCUUCCCCCCCAGAAUGUUCGCCGCCGGCGAAGAAUCCAUUGGAGAGCGUGUCAACUCGUAUCACAAGUUAAAGCGGACCGAGUUGCUUAUCGAUGCUCUUGAACCGGAAGAGUUAGAGUUUCUGAGAAAUUCUACUUUUGGAAAGAUUCUCGCGAUAGAGGAGAACCCGCCGUUUUCAGGUGCGUUUGGGAAAUAUGUCGUUGUUAGGCUUCUGAAAGUGAACAAAAAAUACGAGGUUUGGUUCAUCUUUCCUGGAAGCCCUGUUAGAAUGUCACUCCGGGAGUUUGCUAUCGUCACCGGACUAAACUGCCGGAAGAUCCCAGAACCAACUAAGAAGAGGAAAAACCCUCUGAAAGAGAAGCUGUACUAGAACGAACUACUUGGCUCAUUGAAGUUCUGCACUGUUGACACAGUGAAGAGCAAAGAGGCGUGGAUUAAGCUCGCUUGCCUUGCAAUCACGUAGUCGAUUCUAUUCCCGUCCUUACACACACCUCGCAUCAUCCCGGAGCAUGUUGAACUGAUUCGAGAUCUAGACGAGUUCCUCGCAUUCCCUUGGGGGAGAGCCUCAUACCACACGCUUGCUACAUCUCUUAUUUCGAAGGAUGAAAUAUCAUUAUCGCAGGCGUCUGUUGCGAUUCGUGGUUACGUUGAUGCAAUUCAACUAGUUCUUCUUGCCGCCAUCCCUUAGUUGAAGGAAGAAAUCACACAGUCCGAGCAUACUGUUAUUGUGGAUUCCGAGAGCGAGAGCGAGAACCCGAAUGAAGAGUUAGCUUUAGAGGAUGACAACGCGGUGCCGCACGACAAACCAUCUGAGGCGACCAAGUAUUGUCUUAUCCCCGGGCAUGCUAAGAGCAUAGAUAUCGAGUGCCAGGGAACAAAUAAUCCGUAACAUGAUGUGUUGGCAUCUUAUUUAUGUGUUAACUCGCUCUGUACGAAGCAUUUGAUAAGAUUGUUUUAUUGUACUAAAACGGUUAGUAGCUACUAACAGAUAGAUUAGUUGUUAACUGCAAAGGAUAAGCUAGCUCCCAAUCAGGUUCUCUUUACACGAAACAAUACUAGCAAAUCAAUUUCAGAGGUGUUAGAUAUCCAGCGUUAAACUUGACUGGUAACUUCCCUUGUUUCCGUAAAUCUGAUAGUUAGCGGAUAAAUCUUAUCUUUGACGCAAACGUUUGUGUAUUAUGUAUGCGCCUGUGAAACGAAUCCAUUAUGUUGAUGUUAGAUUGUUAGAUGUACAGUUGACUGUUAACUUAUUACGGUAUCGUAAACCUGUUACUUAGCGGGUUAAUCCUCUCUAACACGCAUCCGGUUCACGUUUGUGCAGGUGUCUGUCAAGUCUAUUCUAGAUGAGCCGUACGAGGAAUGGUCCGCUGGUCUAGAUUUCUCGUGGGUCGAUGAGUCCGAGGAUUUGGAUGUAGAGAACAUGGUUCGAUUGAUUUGUGAGGGUUUUUUUAUUUCAGAAGGAAAUGUUCAAAGGUGGUCUAAACGCAAGUGAUCUUUUGCGUUUGAGGGGAGUGAAGAAACUCAAGGAGAAAGAACCGAAGGAAAAAACGACAAGGAUCACUGUGGGAACCGAAAUUCACACCGUCGAGUUUUGUUAAUCGGAGGAAAGCCAAGUUAACCUAGCCUUCCCUGAAGGUCCCGGUUAUCUGCUGGGCCACACACGACACGAUCAAUAUUAAAGAGUAAAAUGAAAAUAAGCAGAAAAAGAGAAUAAGAGGAUCUUAUUUCUGAAUUCGCGUUUGAGCGUGAACAACAAGUAAAGACCUAGGCUACAAGAGCUGUCGGUACGUUCGCUAGUCUAGCGACCUAAAUCUAAACUAGUUGAGUCGCAGCUCGAUUAGUAAAAGCGGAAAAAGAUGCCUAAAUUGCUCUAAGUGCUAAGUUGCUCUGGUGUGUUCCUGUUUUUCUCUUCGUCCUAGGUCCUCCUUAUAUACUCCUCCUUAUGUCAGUUUACCUCUUCUCGGGCCGGAUUUGUCGCGAAGCAGGCUUUUCCAUAUUUCCUUCUUCUUCGUGAUUAUCUUCGGAAAUUUGACAUUUAUCUCUUCCAGCGGAUGAGAUAAACCGUCAUACCAGUCUUUGGGCUCAAGUCUUUUGGGACCAUAGAUGGGCCGUUGUCCGCAAUUCGGACCCUCUUUAGGCCGUAUAGAGACUUAAGCAUUUUUACGAUUUUACUCGCGAAGUAGCCGUUGACAUAGGCAUGGUUCUUCCAACGGAACCCUGUUUCUUCGCAUAGCCGAGGCAGUUGGUGUAAAGUUAACCGUAGUCUACUCUACUACGAAGAAUAGGAAACCGUUCGAGAGACAUAACCUUCCCAACUUCCCGAAUACUUUCGACGAUGUUUUUUAGACAGAACAUUGGUGUCGUAUCCACGGACCCGAAGACUGAGUUACGGAAACUUCGGAUGAAGAUGCAUGGUUUCCCCAGCUAGAUAGGAUCCGUGGACCUGGGUGUUAGGUCAUAGCUUGCGGUAUGGUCUGUUCUAAGUGGAAUUAGACGUAAUCGUUUGUCGAAAGAUUGAAGGUGAAUAGUAAAAAAAAAGUAAGGGAAGUAAGUUUUUCAAAUUCUUUACUCACUUCUUCCAUUAAGAAAAGAUUCCUCCAAGAUAGAAAUUUUUUCUCCAAGAUCUCUCUUUGCUCAAAGAAAAGGUUUCGGAAGGAGGUCGGAGAACAGAGCCGGAGACAGGCUGAGCUCCAUUCUUGGGCCCUUGUCCGUGCGGAGAGGAUAGGAAAGAGAGCGAUUGUCGCCGAAAUGAAGCGGAGGGUUGCUUUGUUUGCCACCGAAUUCAAGAACUUUAAGAAUGCUCAAGAAUUCGUGGGCGAUUUUCGCGAGUGCCGUGGCUCGGUUGCUACCCUCUACAAGUCGUAGAACGAGGACUUCUCUUUUCCUGCCGAGGUCGCUGAGAUGUCGGGUCUUAUGAACGGGUGUGCCCAUGCCGAAUCCUUGGUUCCUCCGAUCAAAGGAAGGGUCCGACAGCUUUGGGAUUCCAUCGAGGUCUCGGAGGACACGGCGGACGCGGGAACCGGUGUUGGUGAUGAAGGUGCCGGAGUCCCAGACGGAGAGGUGGACCAGCCUGCGAGCUCGUUCGGGGUCUCCAUGUCCGGGUUCUUCGACUUUGUACUUUGAGGAUUGUUGAGAUUAUUUCCCUUAGUUUUAUUUCGAGGUUUGAUGUAUCUAGGCCGAGUGUGGCCGUAUUUGAUUUAUGUGUGUUAUGGCCUUGCGAGGCUAUGUGAACUAUGUGUUUGAGACUGGCCGUUUGGUGGCUUUGGGUCCUAGCCGUUUUUUGCGGCUUCUAUAUAUAUGAUGAAUGAUUGACAUUCUGUGCGUUUUAGUUUAUACUUCUGCCAAGUGUGAGGGAAAGAUACGAGUAGUCACUUCGUAUCUUAACUCUUAGUUUAUCGUCUUGUUCGUUUGCUCUUACUGAACGAGGGCGUUCGGAAACGUUUGGGAGUUUCGCGAAGUUUCGUGAGCGUAUUAGAUAAAGACGAUGGGACAUGUUUUUAAGAUCUCGUAUCAUGUCUUGAGAUGUUAGUGGACCAGUAGGACUGGGUUUAGGGCAAGACCUAGGUUUACUUUCGGCUCUAAGGCUGUGCGACGACUGAUCGGCUCUCGUUUUGCCUGUGGGCGAUUUCCACCUGGUUCUUUCCGAUUUAAAGUCCGCGACUUGGCGCCGGCUUAUAUGACUUGUAUGGAACGAACCGAGCACUCUCCAGAGACCGUCUGGAGUGCUGACCAAAAUUUUGGAUUUCUUGUAUAGCGCGCUAUGGUAUCCUCGUCGGAUGUAAGAGAACCUUUACUUUUACGAAAGGUUAGACUACGAGUUCUUUUUUGAGAACGUUUUGGGUUUGUCUGUCGGGGCCAAUCGACGGGCAAUUUUUGUUUUUAGAGUCGCGGACGGACCGUGUGUUUGGAUAAUAUCUCUCAAAAAUAUUUACGACGUCUCGCUUUUUCCGAAAGGUAUAUCCUUUGUAGUGAGAAAGUUACGAUCUUCGUUUUUAGAGAAGAUGUAUUUGGUCUUGCUUGACCAUUGAUACGCAGUGAUUGUUGUUUAAGUUAGUUCUCAUCCAAGUUUAAGUUAGUUCCCAACCAAGGACUGCUUGAAAGGUAUGUGUGUUUGGAAACCCUUAUCUUGGGUGUUUCUCAGGUUAAUCUCCGAUUGUUGUGUCUUAUUGCAAGUGAAUCGAGAGACCGAAAUAAAAUGAGUUUUAUUUUGAAGUUUCGAAAAUAUCGAGUACAUGUGUGGAUAUUCCGAACUUUGUGGGAGUAUACGAGUAUACGUACCCACUUCCCCCCCCCCUUUUUGGAGAGGGGGAUAACUGAACUUGUCAAUAGGACAAGCUGCCUACGUACCUCUUUCGAGGAUCAAGCCAUCUCGUAGUUCUGCUUUGUUGUUGCGGCCGUUCCUACUCGUUGGAUAGGGCCGUUUCUGUUACUUCGGCCGUUGAGGCUUUAUUUAAAUCGGCGGCCGUUUCGUGAGUUGGGUUUUCCACUGGUAGGGCGAUGGACUACGGGAUCGCGUCGCUGUCCAGGGCCGUUGCCUGGGCGAGUGAUUCCGAAUCGCUCUUUGUGGAACCUUCGAGAGUACUCUGAGUUUUCUUGACUCGCUUCGGGCUAACCGCAGGGGUGUUCCGAGUUUGUCGUAGCUUAUGCUCGACCAAAAAGCAGAGCCUAGAUUGUUUCUGGCAUCCCCUGAUUACUGCUGUUCCGUUUGGUGUCGGGAACUUGAUGCUAAGGUGGUAAGUCGACGGUACCGCCUUCAUUGCGUUGAUCCAUGGCGUUCCCAUGAUAACAUUAUAGAUGGCCGGGUUAUCGACUACGGCGAAGUCAACGAUUUUCGUGACUUCCCUUGCCAUGACCGGAAGUUUGAUAGACCCGAGGGUCAUUGAUGCUCUGCCCGAAAAACCGGUCAGGGGUUUUGGUUCUGGGAUGACUUCCCCGAGUUCGAUGUUCAUUCUCCGGAGAGUGUCGCGGAAAAUGACGUUGACCGUGCUGCCUGUGUCGAUGAGGAUUCUUCCCACUUCGAGAGCUCGAAUCACCAAGUCGAUGACCAGCGGGUCGCAGUGAGGUUUAUCGAGUCCGACGGUUUCCUCCUCCUCGAAAACAAUUGUAUCGUUUGGAGCGUUGUCGGUCGGGGACUGAGUCGUCCAGUUAGAACUUGUUUCCGCCUUUCUUCCGUAGGCCUUGAUGGAUGAAACAAAGUCGCGGUAGAAUUACGAUUCUCCGAUGAUCAUGUUUAUCCUCCGGCGGGUACUAUUGUCUCCAUGGUCAUCCUGCCUUCUUCCGCGUUUCUCGCCAGACUGGUUUGCGUGUGCGUCCCUCUCGGGAGACUCUUUAUCAGUCUUGGGAGGGCGGUCGGAAUCCAGGAUGAGGUCUUUUAUGCUAGUGACCUUCGAGAGGUCGCCAGCGAGGAGUUUUGCGGCUAGCCUUGCGCCGAGAACUUUGCAGUUCGUAGUGGAAUGACCUUUGGUCUGGUGGAACUCGCAGUAGGAGUUAUCCUUGUACUGGUUCCUGGUCCAGGUGUUUCCGGAGGUCUUUCCUUGUUCGGAAUUGAUAGUGUAGUUGUGCUCGCCCUGGACGUCUUCUCCCUCGUGGUGGACAUACUUGUCGUUUCGAGAGCUUUUCUUUUUCGUGGGCGUCUUCUGCGGGUUGUACUUUUGGGAGAGGAUUUUCAUCUCCUCUUCCAUUACGAUGAAGUCCGUUGCCUUAUGAAGAGUGUCCUAAAUCGUUCUCGAUUUUUCGAGGGAUAUCCAUUGCUGGAAUUUCAAGCGGUACCAGAGAGUUUUCUUCAGAGCAUCGAUCGCCACUUUGUCGCUGAUCCCGGUGACUCUUGCCAUUACAAGCUUGAAUCUGUUCAUGAACUCGCGAAGUGGCUCGUUUUCUCUUUGAGUCAGGCUCCAGAGAUCGACGUCCGAGGUUUCUCUGUCCAUGAACAUGGAAUACUGUUUGAGAAACUCUGAAGCAAGUUGGCGGAAACUUCCGAUGGAAUUUCGUUUUAGGCGAGAAAACCAUUCGAGCGCGGCUCUUUUGAGGUUUUCGACGAAGAGAAGGCAGUAGCCAGCGUCUCGUUCGCGUUCCUUGAGUUUUCACCUCCCCAUCGCGAUCUGGAAAGACUGCAGUUGCGCUUUCAGGUCGGUGGUGCCAUCGUAGAUGGGAAUUUUGAUCUUCCCUGGGUCCGAGACGUUGGUCUCAGUAAUCCGAGCAGUGAACGGGGUUUUGCGUGCUUCCUCGAGAAGUCUGUCGAUCUCGGAUGCAGCGCUUGUCGCGUGGUGGAUUUUUGAUUUCACCACUUUCACCUCCGCUGUGGUUUUCACGGUGUACUCGCGGAGAUCGCGGAUCUCGUCAGGAUUUCUGGCAGCCUUGCGAGCUUGUCUGUGUUGGCUGCGGUGGCUCUUUUUCUCUUUGUCAUAGGUCCUCCUUAUAUACUCCUCCUUAGGUCGGUUUACCUCUUCUCGGGCCGGAUUUGUCGCGAAGCAGUCUUUUCCAUAUUUUCUUCUUCUUUGUGAUUAUCUUCGGAAAUUUGACAUUUAUCUUUUCCCGCGGAUGAGAUAAACCGUCAUACCAGUCUUUGGGCUCAAGUCUUUUGGAACCAUAGAUGGGCCGUUGUCCGUAAUUCGGACCCUCUUUAGGCCAUAUCGAGACUUAAGCGUUUUUACGAUUUUACUCGCGAAGUAGCCGUUGACAUAGGCAUGGUUCUUCCAACGGAACCCUGUUUCUUCGCAUAGCCGAGGUAGUUGGUGUUAAGUUAACCGUAGCCUGCUCUACUACGAAGAAUAGGAAACUGUUCGAGAGACAUAACCUUCCCAACUUCCCGAAUACUUUCGACUUGGCCGCGCUCGCCGGGCGAGCUGAUCUGUUCCACGGCCGAGCUCGCCGGCGAGUCGACCGGCAACACGGUCGUGCUCGCCGAGCGAGUUGGCUCGUGUCUUGGUCGAGCUCGCGGGGCGAUCCGUUUCGGCUAUUCGUUUCCUCGGUUUUUGAAGUUUUGAACGAGAUUCGGUUUUUCUAAGGACUUUCGGAAAUCGAUUCCGUCGUGACCGAUGUUGACCCCAACAAUCACGCCGCGGAGGUGACAGAUGGCGAGGGUUCCGACUCUCAAGUCCACAUUUUAAUAGCUAAUUUGGUUGCAUCACAGCUAGUCGAGAAGUCCAGAUCUCCCGCCUCCGACUUAUGUGAUGAAAUCAGCUCGCUGGAGAAGCGUAUUUAUCAAGCACUAGACGCUAAGCUAGAGAAAAUUGCUUCAUCAACUAUUCAAUCCCAGCAAUUAGCUAUCCUCCAAACUACUAUCGCAUGAUGCCUCCAGGACAUUGAUAAGAAGAUUGGCGCUGCCCUCGUUGGUCAACUGAAGAUCAUGCAAGCUGCGAUACUCAAGGGUGUAACUGAACUCAUUGACCAGACCAUUUUUAGCCGCGAUAUUUCUGUUGAGCAUACGCUUUUCGGCAAAUCUUCUGAGUUUCUUCCACAGCAAGACACAACCGCCCCCCUGUCAACGACAACCUUCCAGUCGUGCCUGACAUUAGUACCCCAUCGGAAGCUGCUGAUUUUCGCAUCAGCAAGGUGCUGCGUGAUCUGAACAUAGUACCUGACCAUUCUCUCCCACCAAACACAAAUGUUGAUCUUCCAAGGAACCUCCCGAGCGCGGUGGGUCUUACGCCGAUGAUAAUCCUGAUCCUGAGUUGGUGAGAUAUCUUAUUUUUAGUUAACUCAACCAUUUGUUAUCUUUCAUUCCAAAACUCAUUUGUUUCCACUUUUUAUUUGACAAAACCCUAUUAGGACACCGCGAACGAAUCGUCGAUCCAGAUCUCAAUUGCUGCUGACUCACAACUCCCGAUUGAGUACAAGUGGAGGAUUUAGUAGUAGCCAACAACAUUACUGAACAUGUAAGAUGAUAAGCUAGCAAUUAAACCCAAACUUUGCAGCUAAAAAUUUACCGUGCUGUGCAGACCGAACACAUCUUAGAUGCUAAUAAAACGCCGGACUUGGUAAAUUAACUAUUAACUGCUAAGUUUAUGUCGGAUAACCAUCUUGUGUAUAUGAAUGCUAACACUCCCUCCCGCUGCACGUAGGAGAACAAUCAAUCACUGGGAGUUUCAACUAUGGUUGUUGAGAAGCCUCUCUCCCAAGAGUUUGAGAUGGAUGAGGUAAUUCUUGGUCUCUAACCAUAUCAUUUCACUAUAUAUGUAUCUAUCUAUCCUCGUCCUUUCCAUCUCGCUGAUGUGUAAUGUAUAUUCACACACACUCAGAUGCAUAUACCUUUUUAUCUACAAGAUAUGCCGUCUUUCUCACUCGGGCUCUCGCAGGAAGAUGCCCCAGGUGUGGAGAAGUCGCCCAACCCGACUAACUACGUUUCACCACCCAAGGCACAUGAGGAAGAGGCACCGGAGCCGCGCAAGAGCAAAAGGUCUAGGAUAAUCCCUGCUGGACUUCAAGACUACAAGUGUGAUCCAAAAGUCAAAGCAGGGCUAUGCAUUAUCCCUGAUGUAGACCACCGGUUUACGCUAAUGGAGUAGAAGGUUAUGAAGGAAUCGUAAGUAACCCCCCAACCGUUUUAUACUGCAAGCCUAAAAUUAUUAGUUGCAUCUACAAACAUUUUUAACCCAUUAAUUAAAUUGUUACAGAGAAAUAAAGUUUCCUAACGGCUACUCCAUGCCAUCGCUUGAGUUCUGUGAUAUUGCCUAUCGUACCACCAUAUUACCUACGGGGGUAAGCAACACUUCUCAGAUGUUUAGCAAGUUUUGACAUGUAUGCUUAACGAUAGUUAUUCGAUUCAGGUCGUUGACACCCUUAUCGGAUUUGUGUCUCGUGGCCCCACGGUUGGUCCCAAUGUUGCCAUAUACGACACUUAGAUCUUAUGAACCACAACAAUCGGUUUGUGAAGACCGCAGCAAGGACUGUUCCAAGCUUAAGUUCGCUGACGUCCCGCUGGAGAAACACUUGGAGAAGUCGCAUGAGAGGAUAUAUUUUCCAUUUAACAUGGACAAACAACACUGGGUUGGAGUUUGUAUCAAUACCAAAGCGUGCACUCUCCAUGUUCUGGAUUGCAACACAUCUUUUCGAAGCGACAGCUCGCUGAAGAAAGAGCUAAACCCUAUUGCUACCCUCCUCCCAUACGUUCUUAAGCAGUUUGGCUUUUUAGGAACCAACGCCGGUGUCAAGGCCUUUACCGUGUCCAGAUGCAAGGGAAUACCACAGGUAUCUAGUCAAACUGAUUCCGGAGUCAUGACGGUCCUGUUGAUUGAAGCUCACGCUGGGGGUGGUCUUGGUGCUUGCAAGGCAAUCACUCCACGUCUGCUUCCAAACGCAUCCAAGCAAUUGGUGGUCAAAUUCUUUGAUGACAUCUCUAUGUAACCGUCUUGUUUCCCUCUUCCUACGAACUCAGGCCUAUGUGUCCAGCUUAUGUUGUUGUUUUUAAAUCUUUCUUUUGGAACACGCCCUACUAUCCAACAAAUUUGGAAUUUUAUCGCCCAACGUUAACUCAAAAAAUCGUCGUUAUUAGUUAACAACCUAUGUAGUUUGAAUAAAUCCUAACUUAGCUAGCAACUUAUUUAUUGCUUGUUAACACGGCUAGACUUAGCUAGCGGCCAACAUAUAUCCUACCUGCUAACACGCAUCUUAGAUAUCAAUUGCCCAAAAGCUUACCAUCAUUUAAUGUUUUCACUUAUGAGAAUUAUUAAGUUAUAAAUGAUAACACUGAAGUUAGCGGCCAACAUAUAUCUUACCUGCUAACACGCAUAAUUUUAUUGCUUGUUAACACGGCUAGACUUAUCAUUUUAACAACUAUUAAAGCUAACAUAACUCUGAAGUUAGCGGCCAACAUAUAUCUUACCUGCUAACACACAUUAACUUUAAGUAAUUGCUACAUUUGUCAAUUCGUCGUUAUUAGUUAACAACCUUUGUAGUUUGAAUAAAUCCUAUCUUAGCUAGCAACUUAUUUAUUGCUUGUUAACACAGCUAGACUUAUCAUUUUAACAACUAUUAAAGCUAACAUAACACUGAACUUAGCGGCCAACAUAUAUCUUACAUGCUAACACGAAUUAACUUUAAGUAAUUGCUACAUUUGUAAAUUCAUCGUUAUUAGUUAACAACCUAUGUAGAUUGAAUAAAUCCUAACUUAGCUAGCAACUUAUUUAUUGCUUGUUAACACGGCUAGACUUAUUAUUUUAACAACUAUUAAAGCUAACAUAACACUGAAGUUAGCGGCCAACAUAUAUCUUACCUGCUAACACGCAUUAACUUUAAGUAAUUGCUACAUUUGUCAAACCGUUUUAAAUACAUAACACUCAUAUAGAUCAAAUUUCACCUCGUUCUACAAUGGACUCUUUCCACAUAAAACCCUUAUUCUCUGCUCUCAUUCAAAUUAAAUUUCUGAAAUAUCAUUUAUAAUAAUUCUCCGAAGUUAACGGAUAACAUAACGUUUACAUGGUAACCCACACUAACCUAUGGUAUAACGAUGUUAAAGCACUUGAUAAUUUAUCGCCCCCGCUAUAUAUUACCUUAUGCACCAUAAGUAAUUUACCACCAUAAGCAGCCAGACUUAUCAUUUUAACAACUAAUGCAGCUAACAUAACUCUUAAGUUAGCGACCAACUCAUUUAUUGUAUGUUAACAUAACUAUGCUUUUAGCGGCCAACUAAUAUAUUUCAUGUCAAAUCGAAACAUAUCAAUCCAUGAACUAAAGCAUUGCGAAUAACUCGAAGUUAACGGCUAAUUUAACAAAGACAUAAAUUUCAUAACAUAAAAUGGGGGAGUUUUUAUUAUACUCUACAUUGCACAUACACAUGCGUCAAUGUGAGAAGCUUAUGGGAACUUAGUUUUACUACAUGAUAACAAAAAAAGGUCGCCCCAGAUCUGAGUGUUACAAAAGAAACACAACAACUCCACUCACCCCUAUAUACUUAGUCUUCAUCUCGAUCUUCAGAUCGGCAUCUUACAAGUGACCUUGUUAUGGUUUGUUCCUCCACAUAUGCUGCAGGUUCUGCGGUGCUUUAAAGCACCACUCAUUUGCAUGUUGGUAGUUAAUUACAUGUUAACAGAGUGCUUAGACGUUAGUAUACAUCGUAACAAGUAAAGUAAAUAAAUCACACCAAAGAUACUAACCUUGAAUUCCCCACGCGAUGGAAUUCUGGCAUUUCUCGGUCUCCCAGGUGGGCGGCGAGUUGCUGGAGGUAGAAGGUGGCCAUCCUCUCCAUCCACACCAAACUUGUACACAUCAAUGUUUGCUUGUUCCGCUGGGUUGAUGCUCCCACUGUACGCUAAUCCCCAGUACGUGUUGCUGUAAUACACAGCCACCGUACUCUCCACUGACUCCCGUGCAUAUAUGAUGCAUGACUUUUCAACGGUCCAAGAUCAAAUCAAUGUAGUAUAAAAGAUUGUCGAACCCACAGAGAACUAGAGACUUAUACACCAAGAAUACACAAGCUAUCUUAAUCUAAGCAAACAAGAAGAUGGAUGAUUUGUAACAAGCUAAGAUCCUAGAAAUAUAAACAAAGUGAUCUCAAAUCCAAUCAAGAAACAAGUACAAGAACUCAAUCAAAUGCUAAGGAUGGAUUCAUGGGUAAGGAUAAUUGAUAUAAGGUGAUCAAGGUUCAAUCUAAAGGUGGCAACUUUCAAUCAAUCUUUCAACCUUAUGCAUAGACACAACACUAAGCAAACUCUUUCUCAAGAUGGAAGCUCAUUUGCUAAAAUAACUCAAGCAUCAAAUCUCUUUGGUUGAAUAUUACUAGAGCAAUCAUGGAGAACAAGUCUAAUAGCAAUCCUAGCACCUUUGACAUCAAAUCUCUUUGGCAAAGCAAGCUAAAAGCCUUGAAGAGUUGGUUCAGGCAUUUCAUCGAACACCUCUCGGACGUGAAAUGCCUAGAGAUCUAUCUUAGAUAGGCCAACUCUAAAAUAGCAUUGAGAUCACUCAACAAACAAGAAAUAAGAAGGAUCUACAAUAAAACACCGUAGAUCUACACUUAAUCACUCUAAUCUACCUUAACCCAUGAAUCCAAAAUGUGUCUACUCACUAAUCUCCAUAGAAAACCUUAAAUCUAUGGGAGAUUCAAGGCUAAUCAUGUUUAUGAGAAGGAGAAACAAGAUAUAAGAUGAAGAACUUCUUUAGAUUAAUGAAAAGAUUCAAGCUUUAUAAAAUGAGGCAAUGUGUGUUCUUGAGAGAAAAUGAGAUAAGUCCCAACUUGGGGAUUACAAGAGUAUUUAUAUGGUCUUUGGAAAACCUAAUGGUUUCCAUAGAAAAGUCUAAAAUGCCCUUUGAAAAUGUUGAUUUUCGGCCAAGGUAAAGACGCGACCCGGGUAGAUGCCAUGGUCGUAACCCGCGUCGGCCAACCCGCGUCAGCUCCUCGUCCAGCUUCUGGGAGGCCGCCCGGGUAAGCUAACCCGCGUCCAUCUACCCGCGUCAGGGUUGAUAUGCCUCUAGUAAAUCGAUCAUAACUCGUCCAAUACAGCUCCAAAUGACUUGAAACCACUUCCAUUAGAAAGAUAACUCAAUUUCCCACGUCACCCCAAAACUUGAGCUUCAAAAGAUAUCUUUAAGGUCUCCAUCCAUGUUCAUCAUUCACCCUUUUGCACAACAAAUAUCUCUAAACACCUCUAAUAACUCCAUAGCACACUCCAGCCCCUAAUAAAGACCCAUGUAUGCAAAAUGGACCCUAAAGAUGCCUAAUUCCUAAUCUACAUGAUCAUUAUGUACAAGAAAUGAUUGUUAAAACCAUGUAAAUAUGCAAGAUAUCAACUCCCUCACACUAGUCAUUUACUUGUCCUCAAGUAAACUUUUCAAAAACUCAAGAAGGAGAGAUAUAAAGAUGGGAGCUUAUAACCAAAAGAGACACUUACAGCACUCAACUUGACAUCCUAAGGAAACAUAGCAAAUAGGAUGAGCACACUCUCUUAUUAUACUCUAGCUUCUCAAGGCCUAUCAAUACUCUUAUGCCUCUACACAAGUUACAAUACUCAUCAACUAACAAGUUCCUUCAACCAGCUCUCACAUUGAUUCACACACACACACACAAUCUGAAUUCUCACAAAUGGGCACAUGAUCUUAAUCAUUUGGCUAGGUAAGCAAUGGUCUAUAUGAAUGAAGAGAAGGAUUCAAAUGUAUUCAUUUCAAGGUGGUUAUCACUCAAAAACAAGGAGCUUGAUCAUUAUGCAAAAUUUAUCUAAGACUAGAAGCAAUUCAUGCAUACAUAGAUCCAUUCUCAUCAGUCUACCAUUUUUCUAAGUGAUCACAAGUUCUACCCUUUUCAUCCCCAUCUUAAAGCCAAAAUAACACUCACUCACAUCACUCACCCAAUGAACAACUCUCUUUUUCUUUUGACUCCAUCAACUAGGGACUUUAAUUUUCUUUUUACAAUACUUAGCUCUAACUCUUUCUCAUUUCCCUCCCCACUUUCUCUUUGAUUCUCUUUUUUUUUAUAAGCGAGAAGGUCAUUUGUACAUAAUCUAGAGCUUCAUACUUUUCUUUUGUCCCUAGAGUUUUUUUUUUUUAUAUGACACUCUUUUGUUCAUCUUUCUCAUAUUUUUCACUCCCAAAACCCAAGAUAUUAACAUUUAGAACACACAAACCCCUCUCACCAUCCCCAAAUGCUAGCUCAUUUUGCUAGCAAGAGAUGAGAACAAAUCUAUGUCGCCUCCAAUACUCUCAAGAUUUUUCAUAUGACAAGCUAUCAAAAGAGGCCUCACUCAUGCAAUUCAAUGUUUGGUCUCAAAGAAUGGCUAGGGUUGUAGGGUAUGGAGUGUCAUUUGGGUUAACAAAGAUUGGUAUAAUGGAACAAGAUAACCUAAAUGUGUAUGAGAUCCAUGAUGAAGUAUGCAAAUGCCCAUAUGCAAGAGAGAUUAAGUUCAUUCAAGCGAAGUUCAGAUUGGAGCUGAUCUUAAGAACAAUGCCAAUAUCAAGCAAGCAAACAAGUUUCAAGAAGAGUUUUCAAGGCUCGAAGCAUGCAAGGCUUUCAAGAGAUGCUUAAGCUACUUGAUAUGUUAACUAGGGUGUCACUUUGAAUUCUAGACAAGUGUUCUUUCCAAGGCAUUUUCAACUUCUGUUCCAUAUGGAAGUGAAUGCAACCUCUAUGCUCUAGACUCAAUCCUAAGGAUGCAAAUGAUGCAACUAAAGCUUCUUUUUGUGUUUUUCAAAAUUUUCAAUUUUUUUUUGGUUUUUCUAUGUAUAUAUGUAUGUACAAUGCAAUGCAUGAGACUCCAAAUAAUCAAAGCAAACAUGAUCAAAUACUUGGUACCUCUCCCAAACUUAAGUCACACAGUCUCUGUGUGAUGAAGAAAAAAGGAGAUACCGAAAAUAUGAGAAAAGCAAAUGGUAUCUACAAUGAAAGGUUGGAGUGGUACCUCAAAUGGAGACUGGGGUGUGAUAAUGGGUGUUUAGAGUAGCAAUGCUUGGCCGCCUUUCCUGUCUUAUUGGCUCUAGACUCAACCUGAAAGAACGCAACCAUACUUAUUAAACAACCUAAAAGAAAGAAAGAUAAAGAAAUAUAUACAAUGGAUAAACAUGGGGCUUUCUCCCAAGUGAGCUUGUUUUAAGUCUCUAGCUUGACUUUGUGUGCUUGUUAAUCAUAAGUAUCAAAAGGUUGGGCCAAUGCACCUUUGGUCCUUCUCCUACAAGAACAAGGAACCAAGUAUGCAAAGGAGCACACUACUGUCCAUAGAAAAUAUUGUCAAAACAAACUUCAAGAUGAAUCCUAACAAGCUUUUUUACUCUCAAAACAUCUAGUUUUCUAGUUUCACAUAUCAGAUCAAGACAUUCAUUGAUGAGCAAUUGAGUAUUCAAAUCAGAGGCAAUAUCUUCAACACAAGGCAAGCAAAUAUUCUUACAUUGAAGUUAUAAAGUAGGAUUGCAUAUACCUUUUAGUUGGGUUGGUGGAACCCAAUAAAAUACCUCUUUGAGCUGUUGAGCCAUUCUUAUCUCAAUGCCGGUGAGCUCUCUUCCUUCUAGUGUUGCCCGAUGUGACAUAAGAUUUAGCCUAAGCAUCACUGCCAUGUCCUCCCUUGUCAACAUUGGGUUCUCUUUGCAAAGCUCAUCCACCUUUACACUUUGUUCUGGUGUGAGUAUACUUUCAUCAAAUGGCUCCUCCACAUAUGGUUCAUCAUCAUCAAUGUGAUCUUCAAGUGUGUCUUCCUCUUCUUGUGGCCAAACAAAGUGGCUUGCAGCCAUCACUGCAAAUAGCAAAAAGCUAGAAUAAAAGGUUAGUAGCUAUACAAAAGCAAAACAAAGCAUAAGAAAAUAAAGCUUAAUCUCAAGAAAGUUUGAAAUCCUAAUGACAAAUCUACUUAGUUCCCCGGCAACGGCGCCAAAUUUGAUGCAUGACUUUUCAAGGGUCCAAGAUCAAAUCAAUGUAGUAAAAAAGAUUGUCGAACCAGAGAACUAGAGACUUAUACACCAAGAAUACACAAGCUAUCUUAAUCUAAACAAACAAGAAGAUGGAUGAUUUGUAACAAGUUAAGAUCCUAGAAAUAUAAACAAGGUGAUCUCAAAUCCAAUCAAGAAACAAGUACAAGAACUCAAUCAAAUGCUAAGGAUGGAUUCAUGGAUAAGGAUAAUUGAUAUAAGGUGAUCAAGGUUCAAUUUAAAGGUGGCAACUUUCAAUCAAUCUUUCAACCUUAUGCAUAGACACAACACUAAGCAAACUCUUUCUCAAGAUUGAAGCUCAUUUGCUAAAAUAACUCAAGCAUCAAAUAUCUUUGGUUGAAUAUUACUAGAGCAAUCAUGGAGAACAAGUCUAAUAGAAAUCCUAGCACCUUUGACAUCAAAUCUCUUUGGCAAAGCAAGCUAAAAGCCUUGAAGAGUUGGUUCAGACAUUUCAUCGAACACCUCUCGGGCGUGAAAUGCCUAGAGAUCUAUCUUAGAGAGGCCAACUUUAAAAUAGCAUUGAGAUCACUCAACAAGCAAGGAAUAAGAAAGAUCUACAAUAAAACACCCUAGAUCUACAGUUAAUCACCCUAAACUACUUUAACCCAUUGAAUCCAAAAUGUGUCUACUCACUAAUCUCCAUGGAAAACCUUAAAUCUAUGGGAGAUUCAAGGCUAAUCAUGUUUAUGAGAAGGAGAAACAAGAUAUAAGAUGAAGAACUUCCUUAAAUUAAUAAAAAGAUUCAAGCUUUAUAAAAUGAGGCAAAGAGUGUUCUCGAGAGAAAAUGAGAUAAUUCUCAACUUGGGGAUUACAAGAGUAUUUAUAUGGUCUUUGGAAAGCCUAAUGGUUUCCAUAGAAAAGUCUAAAAUGCCCUUUGAAAAUGUUGAUUUUCGGCCAAGGUAAAGACGCGACCCGGGUAGAUGCCAUGGUCGCAACCCGCGUCGGCCAACCCGCGUCAGCUCCUCGUCCAGCUUCUGGGAGGCAGCCCGGGUAAGCUAACCCGCGUCCAUCUACCCGCGUCAGGGUUGAUAUGCCUCUAGUAAAUCGAUCAUAACUCGUCCAAUACAGCUCCAAAUGACUUGAAACCACUUCCAUUAGAAAGAUAACUCAAUUUCCCACGUCACCCCAAAACAUGAGCUUCAAAAGAUAUCUUUAAGGUCUCCAUCCAUGUUCAUCUUUCACCCUUUUGCACCACAAAUGUCACUAAACACCUCUAAGAACUCUAUAGCACACUCCAGCCCCUAAUAAAGACCCAUGUAUGCAAAAUGGACCCUAAAGAUGCAUAAUUCCUAAUCUACGUGAUCAUUAUGUACAAGAAAUGAUGGUUAAAACCAUGUAAAUAUGCAAGAUAUCAAUAUAUGGCAGCAGAUACUGCAUGAGCACAAGGGAUGGCCAGCGCGCCGAACUCCUUGCAAGAACAAGUUUUCUUAUCAAGAUCCACACGGUGAUACAUCCCAUUUCCAUUAACAACUUCGUACUCAUUGUUUAUGAUGUGUUUGACAGCAUAUCCUGUGGAGUCUUUGAAGUUGCGCAUGACGAUAUCAGUAACUUUCGGAGUUAGUGCCCCCACAUUCUUUGCUGCUGCAUCACGUCUCGAAGAGAACCAUCCCAUCACCAUUGACCUAAUAUACUCCAGAAGAGGGACAAUUGGGUAUUCUCUAGCCUCAGACAGUGUUGCGUUCAGAGACUCAGCGAGGUUACUUGUCAUAAUGUUGUACCUUGCCCCAUCAAAAUGUGAUCUAGUCCAGUGCUCAAGUCCAACCCGGAUCAGAUAAUCCGCACAAGCGCCGUCAACCACCUUGAGCUCGUUGAAGUGCAAGUAGAAAUCCUCCAGUUUGUAAGCUCUUGCUGCUCUACCCAGAAGGUACCCCAAAUGCUUCUUCUUGAAGAUCGUCUGGACGUUCCUCUGGAGAUGUAGCAGGCAAGAACAAUGCUUAGCCAUCGGAUAAACCUAUUAAAAGUAACUACAGCAGUUAGCAAACUGUGGGAGUGAUCUUAUUCUACAGACUACCAAAUAAGUUAACCGCUAACUUAUGCACUAUAGUUUACCCUUAAUAUUUUAAAUAGAGGCAAUGCAGUAGGUGCUUACUCUGCGGAUUCCAGAGUAUAUUGCGGUGUGUCUGUCAGAGACAAAGACUAAGUCAGUAGCAUCAGUCACUACAGCAAGGAGCUUGUUGAAGAACCAUGUCCAUGAUUGGUCAUUCUCGCUAUCUACUAUCCCAAACGCAAUCGGAAAUAUCUGAUAGUUCCCAUCUUGUACACUUGUUGUGAGCAAACACCCUGCAAACUUCCCCUUCAAGUGCGUUCCAUCAAUGAUGACUACCUUUCUCAUGAAAUCAAAUCCUUUUUGGCUUGCCCCAAAUGACAGGAAGAGGUACUUGAAACGCUGGACAUUGCCUGGUCCCUUGCUUGUCUCCAAUGCGACCAGAGUCCCAGGAUUCGCAAUGGCCAACUGCUGGAGGUAGAAAGGUAAAGUACUAUAUGCUGCCGCAACAUUUCCACGCCCAUUCUCUAUAGCAAUCUUCCGGGACUUCCAAGCAGUCCAGUAGGAUAUCGGUACACUGUGGUCUCUCAACGCUCCUGGCCUUGGGCCACUUCCGAUACCAACAUACUUGCUCCUCAUCAUUCCCCCAACAAUUGAUGAGGUUGCAUGUCUCCUAAACUGCCCCCGCUCGCUAACAGUGCAAUGGUGGUUACUAUCCAAUGUCUUGAUUUCAAACAGCGGGCACCCAGUGAUUUUAGCUGCGUACACCCGCCAUUGACAGUUAACUCCACUGCACUCCAGAACCAGUUUUCCGGGCUCAGACUUCCUCUUGAAGUAUAUGUACUUGUUAGCCAAUGCAUGUAGCGACAUGUGAACCUUGAAAGCAUCCCGGUCGACAAAUACUUGCCCCACAUAGAGCUGAUUAUUGCUGCCUAUUUCCUCUUCAUCUGAAAUCAGCAAUUUAUAUAAUGUUAGAACAUAUAUACAAACUCAUUUACCAACUAACUCAUCCAUUACUCGGAACAAAUAAACUUAUCCAUCACGGGGGAAGCUUACCUUUUUGCUCACCAGCAUAAGCUUCAUCCUCCUCAAGUGCCACAUCGGCCCCCUCCGUGUUUGCAAAACCAGAGCCAGAACCCAUCUGCAGCCCGAAGAGCUGACCACCCCUGAUGUCUGGACCAGUCAUUACCCCCUUGCCUUUCAUAUAUGAGCCCACCCGUCCUCCAUCAACGUCGUCAGUAGUAGCUAAGAAAACAAUUAACACUCAAACGCAUCAUUUAUCCGCUAACUAUAUAUACUCCAUCAACCAGUUCAUUUCCAACAAAACACUCAAAUAAACUUCUACUUACCUAUCGCCAAUGUCAGGUUCGCUCCAGCUGGCGGUUCUGUAGGUAUUUCCUCAAGCCGGAUCAUCCCUUCAGCAUUAGGUAUGAAAAUAUCCAUUUCAUCUGAUGAAUCGGUCUGAGAGGAGUUUUCAUCAAUCACCAUCAGGGGCUGAAAAAUCUCAUCCCUUGUCAGACGCACGGCGUUCCUACGGAUUUCCACCAUCUGCUCACUGCUGCAGAUAUGGUCAUCAACUUCUCCUCGCUAACUUGCAGAUAACCACCCGAACGGAAACCUUUAUAUGGUAACAACAAAGUUAGCAUACAAGUAUACAACUUAGCAACCAACAUAUUUAAUGGUUGAUAAUGCAAACCUCUCCACGGUAUUGGUUUAGGUGGAACAACAUCAGUCCCGUCUUCCGUCAGCCCGAACUCCUCCCUCCGCAUGGUGUGGUAGCGGCCAACUUCCACGUUUCCAUAGGCCACACACAAAGUCAAUUUAACGUAGUCCAUCCUAACCGCAUGAAGGGCUCCACAUCUUUGUCUUCUAGUAUGUCAACAGGCGGUGUGGUGUAGUCGCCAGGAACUUUCAUCCACUCAGGGAAGUCAUAGGUCAAGGCGACAGGUUCAGAAGGGAGUACUCGGUAUUUACCCCUCACCAUAGCCACCAAGUCGCCGUAAGUCUCAUUCUCUCUCAACACAAUAUCGUAUUUCACUUGUGUGUGAUCCAUGUCGAACCACCAGGUCCCAUGUGCAAGUCUCUGCCAUUCACCUACAACAACUCUCACCAGGUGCCCCAUUGCUUGUACUUGAACAAGUUCGUUGUUUCCUGAACAAAAAGACAGAACACAGAUUGUGAAUCUCUAGUUUAUAACAGCGAACACAACCGUCUAUUAAUCAUCAAAGAGUUGUUUCCUGAACCAAAAAGACAGAACAAGUCUAUAUAGAUGAAUAUAUGUCAAUAAUCUUCAUACCUCUCCUCUAAGAGAUAAUGAACACUGUCAAACGAGUUCCUAAUCUCUAAACUCUCAAUCACAGUUUUCGUUUUCACUUUGUCUCUCACACCAAUCUCUCAACCCUCUGCUAAGUAUAUAUAUUCUAUUCUAUGAACCCUAGUACCAAACCCACAACCCAAUAUGCAACCACCGUUCCACUUACCGAAGCAAUUGUCAUCAUAACGAGUAAGGAGAUCUUUUUUACCCAGCAGUUCCUCGCCUCCGGCGCCUCUUUGUGUCAGUCACGCUCCUCUCUACACGCCUCAACCAAAUCUCAGUUUCUCUACUUUCUGACACACACACGCGUUCUAUCGGCGAACCCACGAGGUUGAAAGAGCCAAAUCGUGGCCAAAAAGUCAUUGUUUUUGCCUAUAUCUAAACUCAUGGGCAUUAACCAAAUUUGGGUCUCUUUUGGGUAUAUAUCGUCCAUUCACUCAACUAAGAAACAUGCGAUGUGAACACCGCCUCUAGGAGUCUAGGAUAUGGAGACUUGUCUCGCUCCCUGCCAGUUGAAAGUUCAAUAUUUGUUUUUGUAGAAAUCUUAGUAGAUGAAUCUUGCACGUAUGUAAAUUAUAACAAAAUCCAAGAAGUCACUGUUAUUGGUUUAUACCCAAAAAGCAUAUACUUUUUCCUUUUAACUCUUUCUUUUUGUUGCUCUAGACUAUCUUAGAUACAAGAGGUGGCAAAAUUGAUCUUUUAGAGACAGAAAGAUGGCAACAAAGUAUCUUUUCUAAAAUUUUGUUUUGCCAACUUAAUCAAUCAGUUUACAUAUGUAAAUAAAAUUGAAUAACCAUUUAUUAAUGACUUGUGUCAGUUGUUUGAAAUUUUGUUUAGUCAACCAACUUUUUUGCCAUUUGUUCUUGUUUCUAAUUAUUUCUUGCUAAACUUAUUCAAAGUUCAUUAUUAUCUUGUUAACUAGGACUACAAAAACAGUUCUUUUCAUUAUUUAAGAUAUGAAUUAUAAUUUUAGUCGCAUGGUUUAGCACCAGAUUUGUUUCUAAACGAAUCUAAUCAUUCAACCAAUAAGUAGUAGUACCACUUAAAUUAUAAAAUACAAAGCAUGUACUUUUCACAUGUAGCGUUCCAAUUGUUAUUGUUAAUAUCUAAUAUUAGUUUUUCGAAAGUGAAAUAUUAAAAGUUGUCUUCUCCGCGCACUAUCUUGGCUCUUAGUAUGGGACGAGUUCGUCGUAUCCUCUUCAUUUUCAACAAAUAGAAAAACAUAAAAGCUCUUCUGAGGAAACUCAAAGAUCUCUGGAGAUUCUCUCCAAUGGCAGCCACAGUACUUGGCUCCGUCUUCGGUAUCUCUCCCGUCUCUACAGAAAGAGUCUGCAACGCUGACUUCCGCAGUACGAAGUCAAACCUACGAGGAAGAACGCAGGCUAUCAAAUCGGUAGCACCGACGAAUCACGGUGGUGUUCGACGAGUACACAAGAACAAGGAGGAUGACGGAGAAGGAGCAAAGGUGGCUAAAUUGGUGGAGAGCCCGUAUUCAAAAGUGGAGGCUGCGCGUCCAGAUUUGCGGAAGAGGUUGUCGGAUUUUUUGGAGGAUGCGAGAGAUUUGGUCGGAGAUGAUGAUGGUCCGCCACGUUGGUUCUCUCCGUUGGAGUGUAGCUCUCAGGCUCCAGGCUCGCCUCUUCUCCUUUUCAUACCUGGUUCGUCCUCUAAUUAACCGAGCAGUAGAUCUUGGACCGAAACUGUAAAAAAAUAAAAACAGGUUGUUUUGUUUUUGCCAUUUUAAAACAUUUUACAUUGGUUAACAAGAGGUGUCCAGUAAUAGACGUGGAUGGUGGGAUUUGAUUUGUGGCGUUGACCCGCAUGGUGUGCUGAUCCUCGCCAGACCAGUCAAAUCAAAGUGCUAUAAUUAGUGGCAACAUAAAUGAAGCUUAUGGGCGAUAGUGAUACCAAAGCUGUUGUACUCAGUUUCUAGUUUCUAGUUUCUAGUUUCUACUAGGGGUCAUAAAGAUUGUCCUCAAUUUUGAUGGUAUCAAUGAACCGUUUUCCCAGAUCAUCCCGGUGUGACGGUGUCCGAACAUCUUGAUGAAAUCUAGAUUUUACUUAUAUAUUCACUCUGCUUUGUCAUUUAAAAGAAAACUAAAUAAUUUUUCAGACAAAAAAUUAACCCAGUAAUAGUAGUAUUUCAUACAAGUCUCCUUUAAUUUUAAGUUUUUUUUUUAUUAUUUUUGAAAAUACAAAUAAACAAUAGUAUACAUUAUAUGUAUAACUAUAUAGCAUAUCAGAUAUAUAUAUCCAUUACAAUUUCAAUAUUUGUAAUUUGCUUCAUUUUUAAUGGAUAAUAAAUUCUAGUAUUAGCUUACUUCAUAGUUUGAGAUAAUCCCUUGUUAAGAUCAAAUAGACACAAAUAAUGAAAUAGUCGAAAAUAUUUUAGCUCAUCACUAGUUUCUACCAUAUUUUAAGACUAAACUGAGAAACUAGAAACCUUGCAGGUACCGAUGGUACUGGACUUGGGCUCAUUAGACACCACAAGAAACUCGGGGAGUGAGUAAUUUUCAAAUUUUUGUUUAUAUGCUUCUUCAUUUUUCUUUUGAAGUUUGCAACUUUGCAUUAGCUUCUUCUUUUUCUUUUUCAUUUUUGAAACAUUCAUGCUUAUGUUUCUUGAUCCAUAUCAGUUGAAAGAAUAAAAUGAGAAAGCAAGAAGCCUAAAAUGAAAUUAAUUGAAUAUGGUUUCUCUGUUUCUGGAAGUUAGUCAUUUUCUGAUAUUUUUUGUUAUCUUUUGAGUAGGAUUUUUGAUGUAUGGUGCCUUCAUAUUCCAGUCAGGGAUCGCACUCCAGCUAAAGGUGCCUUAUUUUUUGUACCAAAACAAAAGAAGAGAAAAAAAAAUUCUAACCAAGAAGACAGCUUAAUGAGGGAUAAAAUGACUUUUGUUUAUGUGUGUUUACAGACUUGGUGAAGCUUAUUGAGAGGACAGUUAAGUCAGAGAACUAUCGUUUCCCAAACAGACCUAUAUAUUUAGUUGGUGAAUCUAUUGGAGCAUGUCUUGCGUUAGAUGUUGCAUCCAGGAAUCCCAACAUCGACCUUGCGCUCAUCUUGGCUAAUCCAGGUACAAACCUCCAUCGGUCUGUGAGAUUCUAUCUUAUAUUGUCGGUAAACGUUAUAACGUAUAUGUAAGUUUUUGCUCAUCGUAUAUAUUGUUUCUUGCAGCCACAGAUGUCAACAACUACAUGUCGCAACCUCUAUCAGGAAUGCUGAAUGUUUUACCAGAUGGAGUUCCCACACUAUUGGAAGAAAUAUUUGGUUUUAAGCAAGGUAGUACACUUUUCUGUUCUCUUGUCAUUUUGUAGUUGAUGUUUGCCUUCCAAAACGUGACAAACAUAUGGUUUCUUUUUUUCCGGGGCACUUUAUUACGCAGGUGAUCCAUUGACUGCAAUGUUAGACGCUUUGACGAAUGAAUUUUACGUCCACCAAAUGGGUGGAGUUGGUGGAGGGAUACUAAGAGAUAUCUUUGCAGUUUCAGCUAAUCUUCCUGUAAGCAUUAAUUUUUAGUUUAUAGUCAAUGCAUUUAUUAUUAUCAACAUCUAAAACAAAUAUAUUUGCAGACGUUGAGUAGGAUGUUCCCAAAGGACACACUUCUUUGGAAGCUGGAACUGCUCAAGUCUGCUGUUGCAUCUGCCAAUUCUCACAUACACGCGGUCAGAGCUGAAACACUCAUACUUCUGAGGUCUUAAUACUUAAUCUCUUUUUACUUGCAAAGACUUGUUCCAGCUUAAAGCUUAGGUGUAAUAUGUGAAUAUCUGGUUAUAUCCAUUGCAGUGGACGUGAUCAAUGGCUACUGAACGUGGAAGACAUUGACAGAUUGGCGCUCACAUUGCCAAAAUGUGUUGUCCGCAAGAUGAAAGACAGUGGACAGUUUCUGUAUUUCGUAAGUGACCUCUCUUCAUCCAACACAGAAGAUAUAUAAACUGAUAACUACACUUUAACUAUCUCUUGGAUUACGUCUCAUAUUAGGAGGACGGCGUCGAUCUGGUUACUAUCAUCAAGUGUACAUGUUUCUAUCGCCGUGGGAAGUCUCAUGACCACCUUUCAGAUUACAUCAUGCCUACCACAUUUGAGUUAAAACAACAAAUAGACGACCACAAGUAAAAAUGCUUAACAAACCAAAUUAGUCUAUUACUUAAGAGGUUAUAGCGAAUAGUGAAUAAUAAUUUUCUACGUUGCAGAUUGUUAAUAGAUGCUACUUCCCCUGUAAUGCUAUCAACUCUAGCAAACGGUAAAGUUGUAAGGAGCCUAGAAGGUUUACCUUCGGAAGGACCUGUUCUGUACGUUGGCUACCACAUGUUACUGGGAUUUGAGCUAGCUCCUAUGGUAUCACAGCUCUUGAAAGAGAGAAACAUUCACUUGCGCGGUUUGGCACAUCCCAUGCUAUUUGUAAACAACCAAGAUGCGUUGGUCGACACGCAGAUGUUUGAUAAAUAUAAGAUAAUGGGUGGAGUUCCUGUUUCCAAUUUCAAUAUCUACAAACUACUGAGUUUAAAGUCUCAUGUGCUUUUGUACCCUGGAGGUGUCCGUGAAGCUCUCCACAGAAAGGUGCUCAUGAGAAUAUAUUUAAUAGUUUGUGACCCUUUUUUUUUUACAGUUUAUGCAUUCUUGGGAGGUUAUAUUAUUAGAGGUUUACAUGUACAGGGUGAAGAGUACAAGUUGUUUUGGCCAGAGCAACCUGAAUUUGUGAGAGUUGCAUCUAAAUUUGGAGCGAAAAUAGUCCCUUUUGGUGUUGUUGGAGAAGAUGACAUCUUUGACGUAAGAUUUUCUCUACUCAGUUCUGUGAACCUCUUGUUUAGCAUGUUAGCAAGAAGCAUUGUCUCUAUGUAUAGAAUAGAAAUGAUCUGAUAAACACUAUACUGGUCUACUUUAUGCAUCACCUGAACCUUGGUUUGCAAGUUAUUAAUUUUGGUUAGGAUAAUGGAUGAUGAAUCUCAGAUUGUACUGGAUGGUAAUGAUCAAAAGAACAUCCCUAUCCUAAAGGAUUUGAUGGCAGAGGCAACAAAGCAAGCUGGCAACUUAAGGUGUUUUAUUUUAUCUACACAAUUUCUUUUUAUCAUUUUAUACUCAUCAAGUGAAACUAAACAUGAGUUUGAACUGUUGUAAAUUACUAGGGAAGGUGAUGAAAGCGAGUUAGGAAACCAAGAUUGCUAUUUCCCGGGACUUUUACCUAAGAUUCCGGGGAGGUUCUACUACUACUUUGGUAAACCAAUAGAAACAGCAGGUAGGGAACAAGAGCUAAAAGACAAAGAGAAGGCUCAAGAGUUUUACUUGCAAGUCAAGUCAGAGGUAGAAGAGUGCAUUGCCUAUUUGAAAAUGAAAAGAGAGAGUGAUCCCUACAGGCACUUGUUGCCAAGGGUCUUGUAUCAGGCUUCACAUGGUUUCUCUUCUGAAAUUCCGACGUUUGAGCUCUGAAAUUCUCUUUUCAAUUGUUUACAAUAUAGAAUAAUUAAUGUGGCUAUGUUGUAAGUAGACACAUUCAAUUAUGAUUCAUGAUAUUUAGAUGUUUUUUUAUUUUCAUGAACCAUGGAAGUCUUAAGGUUGUUCUUCAUACGUAACUCGUGAGAUUGCGUUUCAGCAUAAUUUAAGCUUCAUACAAUGUUCAUGCGUCCAUUAAGUUGUUAAAGAUUAAUACCAAAACUUUUUCUCUCUUUUUUUUGUUUUUUGCGGCUUUUCAAUUUCUUAAGAUGUGAACAACAACAACAUCUUUGAGAAAGAAGUGAGAAGAGUGUCUUGAGAUUAUUACAAUGAAAGGUACAGUAGUACUUGGCUCCAUCAACGGUCUCUCUUCUGUAUCGUCUCUCUCAAGAGAAACAUUCCGCAACGCUGGUUUCUUCUGUUGGAAACAAAGCUCAUCCUCGAAGUAUAGACUCACGGCGAUCAGACUAGAAUCAUCGACUACGACUCAUGGAGGUAUUAGACGAAUAAGGAAGAAUCAAGAUGAAAAGGUGGUUGAGAGUCCGUAUGCGAAUGUGGAAGAGGAGCGGCCUGACUCGAGGAAGAGCUUGUUAGACUUUUUGGAAGAAGUAAGAGGUUUCGUCGGAGAAGAAGGUCCACCUCGUUGGUUCUCUCCGCUUGAGAGCUCCGUUCAGGCUCAAGGCUCUCCUCUCCUCCUUUUUAUACCUGGUUUUUCUUCUUGAUCUUCUUUGGCUUUUCCUAUAAUCUCCAUGGAAAAUUGAGAUCUUACUGUUGAAGUUUAAAAAAACUUGCAGGUAUUGAUGGUACUGGACUAGGGCUCAUUCGCCAACACAAGAAACUUGGAGAGUGCGUAAACUUCAAAAUCUUAUUUAUCCCUUUUUCAUGUCGUUAAGUGUUUGCUAUUACAUUUAUUUAUUUAUUUUUCAUUUUUUUUUUUGUAAAUUCCUCGCGCAAAAAAAAACUAAAAACUAUAAAGAAAAGCUUAAACUGAAAACAAGAAUAUGGUUUUUCUGUUUUUGAAGUACUGACAUGUAAUGGAUCUUCAUUUCUGGUGUGGUUGUGACUUUGAGUAGGCUGUUUGAUAUAUGGUGCCUUCAUAUUCCAGCCAGGGAUCGUACUUCUUCUAAAGGUACCUUGUUGUCUAUUAAAGAUUGCUUUCUGACCAAGAAGAUAGUUGAAAGCUGAUUUUGGUUGGUGUGUUUACAGACUUGGUGAAGCUUAUUGAGCAGACAGUUAAGUCAGAGAACCAUCAUUUCCCAAAUAGACCUAUAUACUUAGUUGGAGAAUCUAUUGGAGCAUGUCUUGCGUUAGAUGUGGCAGCCAGGAAUCCCAACAUCGAUCUUGUCCUCAUCUUGGCUAAUCCUGGUAAAAACCUCCAUCGGUCUGUAAGGUUCUUUAUUUUUCGGUAAGUGCAUAUCGUUGAUCAUCCUAUACACCGUUUGUUGCAGCCACACAUAUCAACAACCUCAUGUCGCAGCCUCUAUCAGGAAUGCUUAAUGUUUUACCAGAUGGAAUUCCCACGCUAUUGGAAGAAAUAUUUGGUUUUAAGCAAGGUACAGUUUCUUUGUUCUCUUCUCAUUUUCUAACUUGACUUCUUGUAGUUGAUACUUUCUCAAGGAUUCUUUAAGUGUCUCCAAGUUUAUUACACAGGCGGUCCAUUGACUGAAACGUUAGAAGCCUUUUCAAAUGAAUUUUCUGUCCAUCAAAUCGGUGGAAUGAUGCUAAGAGAUCUGUUUGCAGUUUCAGCUAAUCUUCCUGUAAGAAUUCAUUAUUAUAAACUCAUUAAUACAAGCCCAUAAUAGCUAUGCAUUUGAAAUUUACUUAUUGUAUUCACCUAAUAAUGUGAUCAACAUAUCAAAACAAUAUUUGCAGACUUUAAGUAGGAUCUUCUCUAAGGACACACUUCUUUGGAAGCUGGAAAUGCUCAAGUCUGCUAUUGCAUCUGCGAAGUCCAAUAUAUCCGCCGUCAGAGCUGAAUCACUGAUACUCUUGAGGUCAAAUUAAUACUGAAUCUCUUAUACUUGCAAAGAAUGUCCUAACUCCUAACUAAGAGCUUAAGUGUAAUAUGUGAAUGUAUGUUUAUUACCAUUGCAGUGGACGCGAUCAAUGGAUGCUGAACCUGGAAGACAUUGACAGAUUCUCGCGCAAGUUGCCAAACUGUAUUCUCCGUAAGUUCAACGACAGUGGACCAUUUCUCCUUUUGGUAAGUGACAUCUCUUCAUCCAGUUCACAAGAAAUAUAUUCAUAAACUACACUUCAACUAUCUCUCUUGUACAUCUCACGUUAGGAGGAUGAUGUAGAUCUUGUUACAAUCAUCAAGUGUACAUGUUUUUAUCGCCGUGGGAGGUCUCAUGAUUACAUUUCAGAUUACAUUAUGCCUACGCCAUACGAGUUAAGAAAACAACUAGAGGAACACAGGUAACAACGUGCCUCAUUAUAGUUUCUCUCUAUGUAUCUUUAAGUAAAAGGGUAUAGUACUGAGUGAUAAUUUUUUACCAUGCAGAUUACUAAUAUAUGCUACUUCCCCUGUAAUGCUGUCAACUCUAGAGAACGGUAAGAUUGUAAGGAGCCUAGAAGGUCUACCUUCGGAGGGACCUGUUCUGUACGUUGGAUAUCACAUGAUAUUGGGAUUUGAGUUACCUCCAAUGAUAGCUCAACUCAUGAAAGAGAGGAACAUUCAGUUGCGUGGGUUGACACAUCCGAUUAUUUUUAUGAACAAGACGAUAGUACACGACAUACUCGACCCUCAGAUAUUUGACAAAUAUAAGAUAACGGGUGGAGCUCCUGUCUCUCAUGCCAAUAUCUACAAGUUGCUGAGUUCAAAGUCUCAUGUGCUUUUGUAUCCUGGUGGUGUCCGUGAAGCUCUCCAUAGAAAGGUGAACAUAACCUUUUUUAUACAGUUUUUGUAUUCUUGGAAAUUAUGUUAUUAGAGGCUUACAUGUACAGGGUGAAGAGUACAAGUUGUUCUGGCCAGAGCAACCUGAGUUUGUGAGAGUUGCAUCUAAAUUUGGAGCCAAAAUUGUCCCUUUUGGUGUUGUUGGGGAAGACGACAUCUGCAAGGUAAGCUUUCAUAGUCAUAAGCUCCAAUCGGUUAUGCUGUUUAGCAAAUCAGCAAGCAAAAUAAUACUAAACAACUUAGAGAGAAAACUAAUAUAUGUUUUAAAUUUUCUUUAUUAAUUGUGUGAAUAAAUAAUUCACAAUACUAAAAAGAAUACUUAAGGCCCAACACUUCUCAGAUGUCAACUUUGAUAGAAAGUACAUCUGCAACAUUGUAGCAUUUUACUAGUGCACCGAGAUUUAAGCUUCGCUAAUAAGAAAUGACAAGUCUUUAUUCCGAUUUCUACAUUACUUGACAUUCUCAGCUUCUACCUAAUUCUACAGAUUACUGCGUUCCACAUAUUAGAUUUGUUCUUUUUAGUUGAUUUCUGAAGUGCUGAUAAAAGUUCCAUACCUUGUAUUCACCCGAACCUCGGUUUUAAAGUAACUUUGGCUGGGAACAUUGAAUGACUCUCAGAUCGUUCUGGAUUCCAAUGAUCAAAGGAACAUCCCUAUCUUGAAGGAAUUAAUGGAAAGGGCAACAAAGGAAGCUGGCAACUUAAGGUGUUUCCACGCUACACUAUAUAUACAUUUUUUUCUCAUGUGUACUCUUCAUGUAAAUAGUCAUAUGAUCACUGACUUUGAGCUUUCAUAAUCUUUUAGGAAAGGCCACGAGAGUGAAUUGGGAAACCAAGAUUUCUAUUUACCAGGGCUUGUACCUAAGAUUCCAGGGAGAUUCUAUUAUUACUUUGGAAAGCCAAUAGAAACAUCAGGUAUAUAUGUUCAAUGUAAAUUAAUGUUGCUUUGAUCUACUCUAGAUCACUGAUCUGAGUACUUGCAAUGGCUUUUUUUCUUUCUUUUUGGCAGGUAAGGAACAAGAGCUAAGAGACAAAGAAAAAGCCCAGGAGCUUUACUUGCAAGUCAAGUCUCAGGUAGAACAAUGCAUUGCCUAUUUGAAAAUGAAAAGAGAGAGUGAUCCCUACAGAAACUUGCUGCCAAGGAUGUUGUAUCAGGCUUCACGUGGUUUCUCUUCUGAAACUCCAACGUUUGAUCUCUGAAAUUAUCAUCUCUUUGAUCAUUUACAGUACUACUUUAUAUUUUAUUUUUCAAAUCAUGAAUUGAACAACAAAUUAGUAUAGAUAAAUAAUAGAAGAAACAUAAAAGUUUUGUUAAAUGAUUAUAUAAGCUUGUCUCUUAAUGGCUAUUGAGUGUGAUUAACGGCCAUUGUUUUUACAAGUGGCAUAGAUAAAUAAUAGGAGAAAUAUGAAACUUUGUGUUCAAAAAAAAAAAAAAAAAUAUGAAACUUUUUGUGUUAAAUAAUAGUCCUUAAAAUGAUUCUCUCUCGUAUUAAUAAAUGAAGAAUAUUACAAACUCAGAUUUUCAUAAAGUGUAUAAGCUUGUCUCUUCAACUAGUAAAUCCAAUCAAACGCUUUAUGCAUAUAGGCCCCGCCUUGCUCAUGUUUGCCCGCCCACACUUUUAAAUAGAUACCGUUUUCUCUGGCUCUCCAGUCCCACAAGGCUCCAUUAUCACUGGGACUUACCUGUUUGAAUGCUGUAAAGCUCUGAGUGUGUCUAUAAUUAGGCCCUUGUCUCAACGUACACAUGAAACGCGUUGUCCCGAAAAUGUUGGUGUUGAAGUAUUUUUCAUAUCGUGCUCCUGGUUCUAUCAUCUCUGUCUUCAUUCGGUUGUCUUUGGAGUAACAGCUUAUAGAGAGCUUUUUCUUGAAUUUGAGUUCGUUUGAAAUCCUGAUGCUGCCGUAUACAUGGCUAAUCAUGCAGAAGCUAACCACACAUAGAAAGAUUGAGAGAUUUUUCAUAUUUAUUUUUAGGAUACUGAUGAUGUACUUCUUUUUGUGGUCUAGAUUAUAUAUACGCAUCUAUAUUGCUAUAUAUGGUAUUUUAGUUUAUAAAUAGGAUUAUAGAAAGACAAAUAAGAUGUGUUGUAGAUGCUCUAAUUAAUAAGCUAUAGAUAAUCCUCACAAAUCCACAGCUUGAACUUCUGUUAAAAACUGCUAUCAUUACUUUGGAAAACAAAUAGAAACAGCUGGUAUACAUGUUAAAUGUGCUUUGACUACUGUAGAUUGCAUGAUCUGAAUACUGGCAAUGGUUUUGUUUUUGUUUUUUCUCUUUCUUGGCAGGUAAGGAACAACAGGCCCAAGAACAUUACUAGCGAGUCAAAUCUCAGGCAUUGCCUGUUUGAAAAUGAAAAGAGAGAGUGAUCCCGCCAGAAACUUGUUGACAAGGAUUUUGUAUCAGGCCUCACAUGGUUUAUCUUCUGAUAUUACAACCUUUAAUCUCUAUGACUAUCAUCUCUUUCAUCAUCAAUUUUUUUUCACAAGUAGCAUAGAUAAAUAAUAUGGGAGCAACAUAAAACUUUUUGUGUUAAAUGGUAGUCCUUAAAUUGAUUAUUCUCUUGUAUUAAUGAAGAAUAUAUACAAACUUCGAUUUUCAUCUGUAACUAGAUCUUGACCUGCGCAACCGCGCAGGUUUUUGUUUUUAUUUAUUUUUAUAUAAAUAUUUUGUUUUCAAUUCUAAAUUGGUAUAUAUUAUAAUAUAUGUGUCUAUCAAUUUUUUAAACAUAAUAAGUUUACGAUAUAUAUUUUUCAUUGAAUAGAUUGUUUUAAAAUUUCACAUGUAUUUGUAUCUUCUUUUAUAUAUAUAUAUAUUAUCGGAUUAUUAUUUCAUUAUUAAAACCAUAACUAUAUAUAUAAAGAUUAGUAAAAUAUUGUUUUAUUGUCAUAUUCAAAGAUAUUGUAACAUUUCACAAAUUUAGAAAGUUUUUAAAAAAUUAAACUUUUCGCUUCAUGGAUUUAUAUUAUCGAGUAAAUAAUUAAACAUUUAGUUUUUGCUUAAUUUUUAAAAUAAACUAUAUAGUUUAAAAUUUGUUUUCAUUGGUUUAAGGUAGUAAAGAUUAAUCAUUGUUAGAUAAUAUUAUUUUUGAUAUUUUUUAAAUUUUUUUUAUAAUUUUAAAAGUUAACAUCGACAUAUAUUUAAAUAUUUAACAUAUGGAGUUAUAGUAUUACACCAUUAAAUUAUAUCUAUUUUAUUUAUAUUGUCUAUAAAUCCAAUGGAUCAUCUAUUCUUUAAAUCCAAUUAUUGAUAGCCCAAUAAAAAUUUCUGGUAGACCCAAAAUUUAAAUGAUAUAAUAUAUGUGUCUAUCAAUUUUUAAAACAUAAUAGGUUUACGGUAUAUGUUUUUCAUUGAAUAGAUUGUUUUAAGCUUUUACGUGUAUUUGUAUCUUCUUCUAUAUAUAUAUUUUCGGAUUGUUAUUUUAUUAUUAAAAUCGUAACUAUAUAUAUAAAGAUUAGUAAAAUAUUGUUUUAUUGUCAUAUUCAAAGAUAUUGUAACAUUUCACAAAUUUAGAAAGUUUUUUAAAAAUUAAACUUUUCGCUUCAUGGAUUUAUAUUAUCGAGUAAAUAAUUAAACAUUUAGUUUUUGCUUAAUUUUUAAAAUAAACUAUAUAGUUUAAAAUUUGUUUUCAUUGGUUUAAGGUAGUAAAGAUUAAUCAUUGUUAGAUAAUAUUAUUUUUGAUAUUUUUUAAAUUUUUUUUAUAAUUUUAAAAGUUAACAUCGACAUAUAUUUAAAUAUUUAACAUAUGGAGUUAUAGUAUUACACCAUUAAAUUAUAUCUAUUUUAUUUAUAUUGUCUAUAAAUCCAAUGGAUCAUCUAUUCUUUAAAUCCAAUUAUUGAUAGCCCAAUAAAAAUUUCUGGUAGACCCAAAAUUUAAAUGAUAAGAUUAGAGAUUAAAUAUAACAUGACUUUCUAGGAAUAGGUCCAUUAGGUCCAUUGUUUAAAAAAUCACACAUGAAUCAAGGUUGUGACUACAUGUUUAAAUAUAUAAACUAGAUAUCGAUCCGCGCAACCGCGCGGUUUUUGUUUUCAUUUAUUUUUAUAUAAAUAUUUUGUUUUCAAUUCUAAAUUGGUAUAUAUUAUAAUAUAUGUGUCUAUCAAUUUUUAAAAUAUUAUAAGUUUACGGUACAUUUUUUCAUUGAAUUGAUUGUUUUAAACUUUCACAUGUAUUUGUAUCUUCUAUAUAUAUAUAUUUUCGGAUUAUUAUUUCAUUAUUAAAAUCGUAAAUAUAUAUAUAAAGAUUAGUAAAAUAUUAUUUUAUUAUCAUAUUCAAAGAUAUUGUAACAUUUCACAAAUUUAGAAAGUUUUUAAAAAAUUAAACUUUCCGCUUCAUAGAUUUAUAUUAUCGAGUAAAUAAUUAAACAUUUAGUUUUUGNNNNNNNNNNNNNNNNNNNNNNNNNNNNNNNNNNNNNNNNNNNNNNNNNNNNNNNNNNNNNNNNNNNNNNNNNNNNNNNNNNNNNNNNNNNNNNNNNNNNNNNNNNNNNNNNNNNNNNNNNNNNNNNNNNNNNNNNNNNNNNNNNNNNNNNNNNNNNNNNNNNNNNNNNNNNNNNNNNNNNNNNNNNNNNNNNNNNNNNNNNNNNNNNNNNNNNNNNNNNNNNNNNNNNNNNNNNNNNNNNNNNNNNNNNNNNNNNNNNNNNNNNNNNNNNNNNNNNNNNNNNNNNNNNNNNNNNNNNNNNNNNNNNNNNNNNNNNNNNNNNNNNNNNNNNNNNNNNNNNNNNNNNNNNNNNNNNNNNNNNNNNNNNNNNNNNNNNNNNNNNNNNNNNNNNNNNNNNNNNNNNNNNNNNNNNNNNNNNNNNNNNNNNNNNNNNNNNNNNNNNNNNNNNNNNNNNNNNNNNNNNNNNNNNNNNNNNNNNNNNNNNNNNNNNNNNNNNNAUAUUUUCGGAUUAUUAUUUCAUUAUUAAAAUCGUAACUAUAUAUAUAAAGAUUAGUAAAAUAUUGUUUUAUUGUCAUAUUCAAAGAUAUUGUAACAUUUCACAAAUUUAGAAAGUUUUUUAAAAAUUAAACUUUUUGCUUCAUAGAUUUAUAUUAUCGAGUAAAUAAUUAAACAUUUCGUUUUUAUUUAGUUUUUAAAAUAAAAUAUAUAGUUUAAAUUUGUUUUCAUUGGUUUAAGGUCGUAAAGAUUAAUCAUUGUUAGAUAAUAUGAUUUUUGUUAUUUAAAAAAAAAAUCUUUAUAAUUUUAAAAGUUAACAUCGACUAUUUAAAUAUUUAACAUAUGGAGGUAUAGUAUUACAAUAUUAAAUUAUAUUUAUUUAAUUUAUAUUAUUUAUAAAUUCAAUGAAUCAUCUAUUCUUUAAAUCCAAUUAUUAUAGCCCAAUAAAAAUUUCUGGUAGGCCCAAAAUUUAAAUGAUAAUAUUAGAGAUAAAAUGUAACAUGACAUUAUAGAAAUAUGUCUAUUAUGUCCAUUUUUUUUAAAAAAUCACACAUAAAUUAAGGUUGUGACUUCUGUUUGAAUAUAUAAGAUAUAAGAAAAGAAUAUUACAAACUAGUAUAUCCAAUCAUGCACCUUAUGCAUAUAGGCCCCACCUUGCUCAUGUUCGCCCGCCCACACUUUCAAAUAGAUACCAUUUUCUCUGGCUCUCCAGUCCCACAAGGCUCCAUUAUCACUGGGACUUACCUGUUUGAAGGCUGUGAAGCUCUGAGUGUGUCUAUAGUUAGGCCCUUGUCUCAACGUACACAUGAAACGCGUUGUCCCCCAAAUGUUGGUGUUGAAGUUAAUUCGAUGGCGUUCUCCUGGGUUUUUUAUCACUGGCUCCAUUUGGUCGUCUCCGGAGAAACAGCUUAUCCAGAGUUUUUUCUUGAAUUUGAGUUCGUUCGCAAUCCUGAUGUCGCCGUAUACAUGGCUAAUCAUGCAGACGACACAUAGAAAUAUUGAGAGAUUUUUCAUUUUUUUCUUAGGAUACUGAUAAGAUGUUUUACAUCUUUUGUUAUUUAGAUUAUAUAUAUACACAGAACAUCUUAUUAGGAAGGGAUCAUGGUCAUGCAUGGAACAUAAUCACGGAAAUUUGACGAGAUAUCUUCCUUUAAAUUUGUAGAUUUUUAUUUCUUUCUGUUUAUUCCAUUGUAAGUAAUUCUGAUUAGUUUAUAAUAAUAUAAAUUGAAAAACGGAAACAAUAUAUUAAUACGAGACUAUAGUUAAGACUCUAUUGAUAUGGUUUUAAUUAUAAUAAGAUUGACAUGCUUAUUUUUGUAAUAAGAAAAAAAGAAAUGAUAGAUAUAUAAAAAAUGAGUGAUGAAUAAUAAAACUACUGAAUCUCACAUUAAUAUUAAGUAUAUAUGUCGAAAAUAAUGACAUCAUGUUAUUUAAAAUUUAAAAUAUUAUUUUUCUAAUUUAAAAUUAGUUAAUAAUAUUUAAUUAAAAUAUGUAUGUAUUAUAGUAACUUUUUAAAAAUGAAAGUAAUACUUUUAAAAAUAAUACUUUUAAAUGAAUCAUUGUUUUAUACGAUAGUCUGAUGAUUGGAGAGAAUUUAAUGAUGUAUUUUUUUGAUUAACCAAUUGUUAGUGUUAAGGUAAUCACUAAAUAAAAAAUGUUUGAGAAAAUGUGAUUUGCGAUUUGACAAAGUUACGGAAAUUUUGUAACUAUUUUAAUUCAAAAUAAAAUAAAGUGGUAAAAAAAUAAUGUGAAAAUAUAAAGUAUUAUAAAAUAUUUUUUUUGCUCAUUAAUCUUUUUUUUAUUAAUCACAAAUUAUGUCAUAAUUUUUUUUUUGAAAACUUAUAUUUAAAUUGAUAGAAUUAUCACUAUAUCUCAAUAAUCUUCUAAGAUUAUACAAUACCAAGACUUUUUAUUUUUAAACUAUUUAAAAUAAUAAAAUUGUUUUGAUUAUUAAUCGAGAAAAAUAAUUGCUGACUACUUGAAGUACUGACCACCACAUGUCAACUAUGCACACUAAAUUAAUAUAUAUCUAGCUACACAAAAUAUAUGUUAUAUAUGAUAAUAUCUCUCAACUUAAUAAUAUUACAUAGUUAGAUUAAUUUUAUUAAUUCAAAAAAUGACAUGUUUAUAUCUCCGAAAUCGUGGACAACCACCUGGUUGUAAUAAUUCCCAUUAGUCUCUCGACAUAUCACACGUGUUUCCCACUAGCCUUUGAUCUUAUGUUGUAAUUUUAUGUUUGGGUUUUCUCUUUAAUAUAUCCUUUAAACAACAGCCAUUUAGGUUUAAUGAAAAAAAUUUGACAAAAAAAAUUCUGAUUAGCAGAUUUGACUACGAGAUUGAGUUUCUUCCGGGAUCUAAUUUGGAACAAGCCUCUCCUGUAAAUUAGAAAAAAAAAAUCGUCCAAAUAAGGUAGAAUUUUUUAUUUUUUUUUUACAUUUUCUGGUCUCUCUAUUUAUUGUCUCAGCUGAUGAACCAUCAACGGGUUUGAUCCGUCAAAAUUAUCAAUACUUUUAAAAGAAGAUUAUUUCUGACCUUUUUAUGUGUAAUGAGAAAUCUAAUCUAUUUUAUUAAUUUAUAGUUUUACUUUUAUCUACUGAUAAAAUGUUGUCACUUAAAAAUUUAAAAUGAGCUAACAAUACAUUUCAUUAAUGAUACAUAUAAUUACCUUUAUAAAAGUUGAAAUUGUUGACCAUGCAUAUGUAUAGUACAGAUUCAUGAUUUUUAGCAUAACCACUUCUAGGCCUGGAAUUUAUAACCGAACCAAAAUUUUCAAACCGAACCCAACCGAGAUUUGGUCUUUUUGGUUUCACUUCGGUUACUGCAACAGAACCGAUCGGCAGAAAUUUCAAACAUGUUCGGCUUGGAUUGGUUCGGCUUGGAUUGGUUUGAUGACCCUAAUGGUUAACUCAAACAAAAUCCUAGUUGACGAUGUUCUUUUGUUAAUUCACAGCUAAACCUAGAACGACUAUUUAAUAUUGUUUUAUAAAGUUUAGAUGGCUCAUCUAUAAAUAUUUGAUAAAAUCACAUCAAAUUGCCCAAAUGUUAAAUAUUAAAAUGACACACAUUUUUAUCACGUGCUUGUCUUCUUAAUUUUCAGCCCUAGUUUGUCCAGUCUUCGCUUUUCUUUUUGCUUGUUUUUUUGUAUCUCUUAACUACUCUGUUUCAUGAUCUCUAUCUUAUGUGUUAAAACAGAGAUUGAGCUGGUGGAUACACAAGAAUGCUCCGCACUCACAUACGACACGAGUUGGUGAUGCUGCACGAAUGGGCUUUAUCGAGUAUUCAUAUCUCUUUUCUGUAUUGUUCAUUUUGUCUAACACUUUACCGCAGUAUCAUACUGAAUUUGAGUCUUCUUUAGUCGCAAUUACGAAAAUAUGGAUGCUAUAUGUGUUUGAGCAGUAUUCGAUUCUUCUUCCUGCAAUAUCACAUUGAAUUUGAGUCCUUUAUGUGGUAUAAUGUAAAACAAAAUCCUAAUAGGGAAAAAGUUAGCUGAACCCUUAUUUAUCAAUUUAUUACUAGAUUAACUCGAAUUUUAUUUUAUUAAUAGUUUGUUAUAUCGAUUUUACCAUUAUUUUUUUGUUACAGAAAAUAGUAUUUACGAUUUUGCCAUUACAUAGACUUAUUUUUCAAUGAUUUAUGUAGUCACAAAUUUAUUUUCGACAUAUUUAUUUCUCUUUAGUCACAGAUUUACUUAAAUUUGACAGAUUUACUUAAACAAAUUUGUCAUGUUUUACCCACAAACUUAUUUCAUUACGACAGAUUUAAUGAUGAUUUGAAAAAUUUAACUUUUAUGUCCAUAAAUUUACGUAUGUGUAAAAUGUUAUGUUUUGAAAACCGGACCAGAUGUUGAUUCGACAUUGUCACUAGAUUGCUGGUCGGACCGGUGUACCAGUCGAACUGGGGUUUUAUAUGUAUAUAUAGUAUGUAUAUAUAACAUGAAAAUGUUAUAAAAGGAACUAGGAAUAAAACAUACUUUGAAAAACAGAUGCUAUGAAAGUAUAUAUGAAUUUUAGUUAUAUAUAUAUGACAAUAUAACUAACUAAAGAGGAUUUAUUUAAAUCAUAAGUUUCGUUUUAACUGAGAAUCUGUUUAACAAAUUUUGCUUUCCUUACUUUGAAGUAAGAAAAGUAAAAGUAGAAAUAUUUCCUAAACAAAUUAUUUGCAUUAAAUUGUAACGCAAAAUGGAAGUAAAUGAUGCAAUUUAGAAAACUGAAUUCUAAUAUUAAACAUGGUCUCUGGUUUUGCCAGUUUUCAACUGGUUUUAGCGCUUUAGGUCAUAUCUGAUUUUCGACUUAAACCGGACUCGGCUACAUAGCCGAUUCACAGUCAGAUCGGUUAGACUGACCGGUCCGGUUUUCAAAACCUGCUUAAAUGUGGUAUAAUGUCAAGCUAAAUUAUAAUAUACAUAAUCACAAAAUGUAACUUUCUUUAACUAUCUCAUCCAGCGCAGGGUGCGAAUCGCUACCUAGUCAUAUAUUACUUAUCAAAUAGGAUCAUAUAUUAAAUCUAAAUAAUAUUACUUACCACGAAACAAAUCAAUAAUUCCCAAAAUAUAGUACAGAUUCAAUUACUGUUUUGGUAUGUGAUUAGCUUUUUAAAAAUUUACUAUAUUAAAAUACAGUCCUAUUUAAACUCUACCAUGACAUAUUUUCUUUUGGACCUAUUCAAUAAGUUGGGACUAAAAUAUACACGCUCUACCUAUUUUUUAGUCUAUUGUUAAAGAUCGUUAUUAAAAUUUGGAUUACACUGCUCCUUUAUGUAACACAAGAUAUGAGCCCGUUGCGUUGUAACGGGUUUUGUGUGAUGUUUUCAUUUAAUAAAAACUAUAAAACAAGAAAUAAUUUUAUUAUAGUUUUAUGAUUGGUUUUUUUUUGCAUAUGUUGUUUGAGAUUUAUUUUAUAAUUAAAACUCAUUUUUACACAUAAGUUUAAGUUAAUAUUUGUAUUUUAUAGUCAUGGUAAAUAGAUGAAUUGUUAUAAACUUUGUACUUAGGAUUAGAUAAAAUACUAUAUCUAAACGUUUAAACUGAACACAACCCGAAAUAAGAAAUUGAAUGAAAAGUAAUGACAACAUUAAUGACAACAUUAUACAUGUUCUUAUGUAAUAAUUUAAUGUUUUAUUAGAUAAUUCUUUAAAAAUUUAUUUUGUUUGGAUUUUUUUUAAAGGAAAAAAUUCUAUUUUAUAAGAUUUUAGAAAAAGAAAAUUAUUAUCAUAUAACAUAUUAUAAUAAUCUUCUUUGUAGAAUUUCAGAAAAAAAUAGAUUGCUAUCAAAUAAUUAUUUUUAGUUACUAAUAAAGAAAAUUUACAUUUCGUAUCAAUACUAAUUUUACACUUCUUUUGUUAAUUAAAUAUAUUUUUGUAUCAUGUUCAUCAUCAAAUACUCUCUUAAAAAUAUUAUCAAAUAAUGUUUUAUAAUUUUCUUUUUAUUAGGACUUAAAAAUAUGAUACAACUUUUUUUUUUAGGAUUUUUUAUACAAAUAAGAAACAAAACUAUCAAAUACUCUUGCACAGUUUUUUAGGAUUUUAGAAAAGAAAAUUAAUAUUACAUAUUCUUUUACAAUUAUAUUUUUUCUAGGAUUUAGAAAAAUAAAAUUUCUAUCAAAUAAUUAUUUCCAGUAAAUAUUAACUAUUUUUAAAAGUUGUCAUUUUCAAAAUUCAUUUUUUCCAAUAUCACUAAUAUUUUUUACAAAUUUUCUUGUUAACUAAAUUUUUUUUUACUAUCAUAUUUAUCAUUAAUUUUUAUAAGUACAAAUUACUAUUAAAUAAAAUUUUACAAUUCUCUCUUGUCAGGAUUUUUUUUAAAAAGAAAAAAAUCUCAAUUGGUCAAGAUUAGAGAAUAAUUUUUUUUUUUUGAAAUCUCUUUUAUUUAGGAUUUUAGGAAAAGAAUAAGUUAUUUUCACAUAAUGACAAUUUUAUUGACAUUCAAAAUCUAUUUUUUUAAUUGACACAUGUCACAAUCAUAUCAGGUGAAAUAUUUGAAGUUAAUUUUGGUUUAUAUUUUUUUAACACAAAAUUAUUAAAAAGUAAAAUUAGUUAAUUAUAAUAAAAUUAAGAUUAUUUUUAUAUAUUUAUUUUAUUUAGACUUUUAAAAAGGAAAUUAAUUAUUUUAUAAUUAAUUUUAAAAAAAAAAUAUUUUUACUAUUAAAUAAUUUUUAAAAGUAGUUUUUAUCAAAAUUCGUUUUAUUAUCUUAUUAUAUAUAUUUUUAAUUAUUAUAUAUUUAAACACAUGUCACAAUAUUAUAAGGAAAAUUGUUAUCAAAUAGUAUUUUACAAUUAUCUUUUGAUUAAGAUUUUAAAAUAUGAAAAUUACUAUUAAAUAAUAUUUUAAUUAUUUUUUAAUAAAAUUCGCUUUUGUUAAUAUCUUAAUAUAUAUAUUUUUAAUUAUGAGAUAGAUUAACACAUGUCAUAUUCUUAAAAUAUAUAGUUGGCAUGUAUCGCGAUCAUGUUAAUUAAAAAUUUUGAAGAACCAAACUUUUAGAAAAGAAAUAUUAUAUUAAAUAAAUGGUUUUCAAUUUUUUUAAGGAUUUUGUAAAAAGAAAAUUUCUAAAAUAAUUACUACUAAAUAUUAAAAAAAAAAAUUAAAUGGUUUUCCAUUUUUUUAAGGAUUUUGUAAAAAGAAAACUUCUAAAAUAAUUACUACUAAACAUUAAAAAAAAUUACUAUUAAAGAAUUUUUAAAAGUAGUUUUUAUCAAAAUUCGUUUUUAUUAUCUUAUUAUAUAUAUGUUUAAUUAUUAUAUAUUUAAACACAUGUCACAAUAUUAUAAGGAAAAUUAUUAUCAAAUAGUUUUUGGCAAUUAUUUUUUGAUUAGGAAUUUAAAAAAGAAAAAUUACUAUUAAAUAAUAUUUUAAUUACUUGUUAAUAAAAUUCAUUUUUGUUAAUAUCUUAGUAUAUAUAUUUUUAAUUAUGAGAUAGAUUAACACAUGUCACAAUCUUAAAAUAUAUAAUUAUUAUGUGUCGCGGUCAUGUUAAUUAGCAAUUUUGAAGAACCAAGCUUUAUAUAAUAAGAUAUAAUCGAAUUUCUUAAUUAAAAACAUCACACUAAAUCAUCCUUCGGUUAUUCUACAGGUAAAAGACCAAUACAUAUUUCAAAUACUAAUUAUAUCAAUCAAACCACGACUAUGUUUAUCUUCUGACUUUAAUACUCACUAAAACUGGACAUCGCAUGAACCCAUAAAAUCAUAUUUGCUUCUCUUCCGCUCACGAACUACACCUACAACACACCAAAAUAUAUUCAGUUCAUAUUUGUCCAUAUUUAAUUUUACUAGCAUAGUAGCAUUCUAACAAUCUCUAUACUUACACGAGCUUUGAAUAAUACACCAUAUCACAAAGUAAUAGAUGGCAUGAUAUUUAAAAAAUGUCUAUAUAUAAUAAAAAUCUACAUACAAUCAAUUAGAUUGAAAAUUCUAACCAAUUUUUAUCUAUUUGAUCAAAUCUACACUAACGCAUCUUGUAUACAGUGUAUCCUCUAUCAACUUAAUUCAAAUUUAAACAUUUUCAAUUAUCUAUUAGAUAUUGACAUCUUAACUUUUUUAUAACUGAAUUGAGAAUAUGUCUAAGUCUAACGAUCCUCAAAAUUGAUAAAUGAAUAUGCUUAUCGAUCCUCCUAAUGGUUAGUAGUGUCUAAACAAAAUAAAUAAUCUUCCAUCCUCUAUACUUUCUGCACCUCACAAUCAUAAACUAAAAGGCAUAUGACAAUGGUGACGUCCAACAGAACUACUUUAUUGAAAGAUGUCAAACCAGACAAAACUGGAUGGAAGGUUGAGAUCAAAGUUCUGCAUUCAUGGACUCAGCACUCAUCUUAUGGUGGUGGAGACUCUCUUGAGUUCAUACGGCAGAUAAGACGGUAAGUGUACUAAUGUUUUAAGCGUUUAGUUUCUCUAUAACUUUAGUUUUGUAAAACUUCUAAAUCAAUGAUCUUUUUGUUCUUCCUUUUAAUCCACUCUCAUAAGAAGAAGAUAAAUAACAUGGACUGUUUGUUAUGAUUAGUAUUAGAAAACGAGCACGCAUGUAACCAACACAGAAACUGUAAAACCAUUUUGAGUUUUGGCAGUUUCAAACAUAAAUUACUUAUAAUCAGUGAGAUCAAUUUUGACGUUUGGGAUGAUAAAUAAGAACUAACAAACAGAAAUAGAGCAAGAAGAAUAACUAGAGAAUCAAGAAGAACUAAACAGACACAAAAACAUAAGAUAAGAAAAAACAGAGAACCAAGAAGUAAACAAAUACAUAAACAGAGAAUCAAGAACUAAACUGACGAAUAAACAGAGAAACAAAAAGAACUAGACAGACACAUAAACCGGGAAUCAAGCACUAAACAAACAUAUGAUAGAACAUGCAAAACAAUGUGCAAAGGUUUAAUAACUAACCGUUAAUUUUAAGGGGUUUUUUUGCAUCAAUAUCGAGUUAACCUUUGCCUCUGUUUCUUCAAUAUAUCCAAAUGUGAUAAAACAUUCUACGAAAAAGAGAUUACAUAACAAAUUAGUUAAUUAAUAUAUCAAUUAGAACAACAAAAUAAAUAAGAAUACGAGACUUAGCUUUGUAUGUUUGUUGGAGCAUAAUUUCUUAAAGUGGAUAUUUCUUCUCUGGUUCACAACAACUUCUACCGAUUAAGAGCAUCACUAGCUUUACAUGAUACACAAACAAAUACAUUAAAACCAUAUGCCUACAGAGAAACACAUAAAACGAUAAUCACAAUCAACUAUAUCAGACUAUAUACUUUCAUGAUCUCAAUAUCUAACUAUCAUAUGUAAUUGUAGCUCAACCAGAUGCUAUACCUUUUUAAGUCUGUACAGAACCCGCAAUAAGGCCUUCAAAUUGGUAAAGUUUGCUUCUUAUCUUCAUUGAAACAGAUUUUUCUUAAAUAUGUCUCGACAUAUACGUAUAACACAAAUCAAUUCUAUACAUGUAAAAUGUAUCAUAAUCUAAAUUAGGCAUGACAAAUUUAUCCAGAACCGAAGAACUAGACCGAACCCAAAAUGUAUACGAACGGAUCAUAUACUCUAAAACUAAAGGACCAAAACUGAAUCGAAACUGAACCAAGAACCGAAUGGUUAUCCACAUUUUUGUAAUAUAAUUUACAUAUGUAUAAAUAUUAACUAUAUUUAGUUUUAAAAUAAUCAAAAUUAAAAAUUAUAUUUAUAAACAAAAUACACAAAAAGCUGAAUUACCGGAAUAAUUUUAUCAAAAUAUAAUAUUAACUGAAUAAUCCAAUUUUUUUUAUCCGUAAACAAAGAAAAAACUGAUAUUUAAUCAAAAAGACACCCAAAUUUUAUGACUUUUAAUCCAAAUUAACCAAAAACUUGAACAUUGUCGGAAUCGAAUGGAUUCUAAAUUAAUCUCAGGUAUUAGCCGAUUCUUACUUUUGUUACCCAAACUAAAAACAAAAAAAAAACAUGAACCAGACCCAAAUUGAAUUUUCUAAAUACCCGAACGGAUUUUAAACCUCUGAAUCAAAUCGGAACCAAAAUCAAGAACCAAAUGCACAUGACUAAUCUGAAUAAUUUUAAUAAAGAUUUGACAAAAACAAUAUCUGCAGACAGCGCGGAUCCGUAUCUAAUUGUGUUUAAAUUGGACAAUAAUCCAACUAUGACAAGAGUCGUAACAGAUAACAAUAUACUCAAAAGGUAUAUGUAACUACACAAACUGUAAUAAGAAUCAAGAAAACUAAACGAUUUUUAAAAGUAUGUCUAAAUUAGAUAACAAAACAAAUAUGCCACAAAAUCGUAACAAUGUAGUCAAAAGUAAUAUCUAUCUGCACAUUUUUUUUCUUUUUUUUUUGACAGCAAGAAACAUUUACAGACUCAUAUAGACUCCGUAAACCAAUGUGGUAACUCUGCAUCUAUGUGUACGACGAAAGACGGUUGUGUCGGAGCAUUGUGUGCUAAGCGAUUCGCCUUUAUGUUUGCCGUCCUAGGAACAUGAACAAUCUCUGAGUUAGUAAAGCUUUUUCUCAAAAACUUUAUAUCAUCCAGGUAGCUUUCAAAUGCUGGUCAUUCUUCUGGUUCCGAAACCAUCUUCACCAAUUGAGAACAAUCUGUUGCAAACGUGACCCGAUACUGUCUUAAGUUCUUCAUACAUUCCAUUGUCCAAAUUAAUGCCUCCAACUCCGCAUGAAGAGGUGAGAGACUUGCCCUUACAUUUCUUGCCCCUAACAAACCCUCAAACCCCGGUAAGGUGCUGAACCAGCCUUGUCCUGAAAAAUAAUCUUUAUCUUUCCAAGAACCGUCAGUGAAACACCAUCUUCAUGUAGUCUCUGAGUACCACCCUGGGAUUAUUUACAACUUGUGCCUCAGCCCAAAGUGUUGAUUCCAAUUCUGCUAAGUUAAGCGUUUCCCUCGGAUCAAUAUCAAUAUUACUGAAAACUUUGUUAUUCCAACCCUUCCAUAUGUACCAUAGGAUCCAUGCAAACUGAUGAUCCUCCAUUUUUGGAUUAACUAUCCAAAACAGAUGAUCCAUAUUAGCAAAAAUAGAGCCAAAAGGAAAAAUGUUUGGGUUCGAUGGAAUCUUAGAUAGUGCACACACUUGACGUACCGGAGGACAUUCGAAGAACACAUGAUUUAUUCAUUCCUCCGGGUCCCCACACCGUGCACAGCUUAUAUCUCCUUGUAUUUCUCUUGAUUUUAAAUUUUUUUGUCACUGCUAUACAACAUGUCAGCAGCUGCCAUAAAAAAUGCCUUAACUUUGGAGGGAACUUCACUUUCCAGCAGAAUGCCUUAAGUACGUCCACAUUGGGUCCAUAAAAUUCUGGUGGUUUUUCCUUAUCAGGAUAUAUCCUUUCUACUUGAUACCCUGAUUGUACUGUGUAUCUCCCAUUAUUAGUGAAAUGUCAUCCAUUCCUAUCAUCCAUCUGAUUUCUACUCAGAGGAAUACUUUCAAUCAUUUUUGCAUCGCGGGGUUCCACCAAAGUCCUAAGUGCCUGUAAAUUCCAUUAUCGGGAUUCCUGAUGGAUGAGGGAAUCCACUGUGAGGUCCGGGUAACUGUUAUGAAAGUUUUUGUUUGCUGGUCUCGGGUGAGUGGAUGAGAUCCAAGGGUCAUUCCACACUGAGAUAGAUGAUCAUGUUCCAACCCUUUUAAUUAGUUCUUUACAAACCAGAGAUCUAACAGAGAUAAUACUCCUCCAGCCAUACGACGGGUAAUAUGAGCGAAUCGUUUCUAGGGGUGAAGCAUUCCUGUAGUACCGUCCUUUGAAAAUUCGCGAAAAAAGAGAAUUUGGCUUCUCGAUCAGCCUCCACAAUUGCUUUCCCAACAUUGCCGUAUUAAAAUCAGUCAAAUCCUUGAAGCCUAGCCCACCAUUAUCCUUAUGGACACAUAAUUUAUCUCAUGAUUUCCUAUGCACACCCGUUGUACUUCCUCAUAGGCUCCACCAAAACUGAUCUACUGCACUCGUUAGUUUCUUCACUGUAGCUUUCGGUAGCCGAUACACCGACAUCACAUGGUUUGGCAGAGCCGUGAUCACCGACUUAAUAAUCACCUCUUUUCCCCCUUUUGUAAAAAAUAUAAAAGUUCAUCCAUUCACCCUAUUAUUCAGACGAUCUUGUACAAAACCAAACACUUGGACCUUGAAACCUCCUAAACUUUCUGGCAAGCCUAAAUAAGAACUCAUUCCUCCUAGGUUCUGAAUCCCCAAAAUAUCUCUCAACUCUUGACGGCUGGCUUCCUUAAUCUUAUGUCCAAAUUGAAUUGAGGAUUUCUGAAAAUUAAUUUGUUGCCCUGAGACAGCCUCAUAAUCCUUUAGUAUCCUGAGAAUAGCUUGGCACUCUUUUUGUUUGUCUUACAAAAGAACAAACUAUCAUCUGCAAAUAGCAAAUGAGAAACUGCUAGACACGCUCUUGCAACCUUCAUACCGGUUAAUUGUUUCAUCCUCUCUGCUUUUUUUAUAUUUGUAAUUAAAGCCUCAGUACACAUAAUAAAUAAAUAAGGAGAUAAUGGAUCCCCUUGACGUAAUCCCCGCUGAAGUAUUAUAAGGCCUCGUGGUUGCCCAUUGAGAAGAACUCUAUAUUGAACUGAGGAUAUACACCCUCGCAUUAAUUUAACCCAAUGAAGGUCAAAUCCCAUUUUAUGAAGAAGAGCCUCAAUAAAAUCCAACUCUAUUCGAUCAUAUGCCUCACUCAUAUUCGUUUUAAUUGCCAUUCACGUAUCACGUUAAAUAAAAAACUAUGUGUUUUAAACGUGAGAUGUUAUAAGCUUAAGCAUAUUGUACAAGUUAUUGCAAGAUUUUAUUUAGAUUUAUAAUAAAUUAUGAUAAUAAAACAAUUUGUAUAAAACCAAACUGUUACGUAAUAAUGUUGAACAAUAUAAAUUUAUUAAUAUUACAAAAUAUAUGAUAUAAAAUCUUUAUAUAUAAAAUUGAUUUGUGUGAUGCACACAGCCUUCCACAACACCACAACAGGUUGGGGCUUUUUUCGACACCUGUUAGCUCCAGAGUAGAUCGGUGUGGCCACGUUCCCUCCUCCUUCUCGCGCGCGUCGUGUUGUCUGUAUCAUCUUCUCAACAUCAACAAUCAAAGAUCAGUAGCCGACAGUUUCAACUUUCAUUAAUACAAACGUAAAGCCCAGUUUUAACGUGAUUUACCCCACUCGUCUCACUCUCAAGCAUUCAAUCAACCUCAUCAUCUCCAAAGUAACCGAUGGAAACUCAAACUAUAAAUCCCCAAGCUCUCAGAGAUGAACAACCUCAGCGAAAUCGAGAAGAAUAGUCUUUUCUGAUUACCAACUCCGACAAUCUCAUCACCUUACCGGUUGAGAUGAGCUCCGAAACGUUGGCGGCUGGAGACGGCGGCGAAACGAGCGCUGGGCCAGCACCGGCAUACGACAAACAGAAGGAGAAGGCGCGCGUGAGCAGACCGUCUCUGAUCCUGUGCCACGACGCGCACCAGAACGACGCAUCUGCAGUCUGGAAACUCCUGGAGAAAGAUCAGUCUCUGGUUCACGCCAGAGAUUACGACAGCCAAACGUCUCGGGUGGAUCGAUGUUGUUAAAUGUCUGAUCGAGUUUGGUGCUGAUGUCAACGCUCAGGACAGGUGGAAGAACACGGUACACUCUUUUUUUAAAUGUUAUUCGGUUCUUUUAUCUCUUUAUAUCAUGUUUGAUCUGAAACUUUUGUUGUGUGUGUGUUUUGAAAGCCUCUGGCUGAUGCAGAAGCUAAUAUGAGCUAGGAAGCAGAAAAUGAUCGAGCUACUCAAAUUUCAUGGCGUUUUAUCUUAUGUGAGUUUUUUUAAUAUCAAAGUUAUAAACUUUCAUUCCUCGAGGUAGAAAAAUUGCUAUGAAAUAUUAAAAGAUUAUUGCAAUAAAUUUAGGAACUUUCUCUGUGAAGCAAAGCAGCCUGCUUUAAUGCGUGUGGCUGAUUGAAUUUUGUCUACGCAGGGUCAAAACGGAAGUCACUUUGAACCAAAGCCUUUGCCACCACCAAUUCCAAAGAAGUGUGACUGGGAGAUUGACCCUGCUGAGCUGGAUUUCUCAAAUGCAGCCAUGAUUGGAAAGGUUUGUGUAUUCUUUUUGAAUCAAGUUUUGAUCAUAGGUGAUCGAUCCAUAGUCUUGAGUUUGUUUAGUUCAGUGCAGUGGACUAAUUGGAUCUUUGGUCACAUUUUGUUAGGGUUCAUUUGGUGAGAUUGUGAAAGCCUAUUGGAGAGGAACACCAGUGGCUGUCAAACGUAUUCUUUCUUCUCUUUCAGAUGAUAGACUGGUUAUGUAAGUUCUUAUUUCUCUCUUUUGAGAUUAGCUGAUACCUUGGUAGAAGUCUGUCCUAAGAUUCUUGUGUAUUCAUACUGUAGACAAACUCAAAACAAGAUAGAUUCUGCUCAUAAGAGCUUAUUGACACAGAAAAUGAAAUAGCUUUAAGAAGCUUUAUUGUGCAAUGAAACUAAAGAAAGGAAGAAUCUUUAUGCUUGUCACCAAGAUAAGUAAGAUUGUAAAUGAUUCAUAAAUAUGAAGGGAGAGGCUGCAUUCAACGCAGCCUUCGUUACAUUGCAAAGUGACCUUACACAGAUAUUUAUAUCAACUCAAUAUGCUAGAAAACCUAGAUACAAUGAGCUUAGAUAAUGGGCUUCCGGUCUUUAUUUGGGCCUUGCUAAUACUCCCCCGCAAACUUAGCGUGGAUGGAGCAGCUACGCUGAGUUUGAAAGCACAGAUGGAUAUGGCUUGAAAUGAGCAUAAGUAGAUGAAGUAGGAUGCUUGAGAUGUUAGCAAAUGGUUCUACUCACCAUUGUAGACAAACAUUAGUGUGAGAUCUAUUCAGACCUAUACUUGGAGAGUAUCACAUGGCUUCACUCAGAGGUUUCUCUUGAACUUGGAGAGCUUAGUUGAUCUCACUCAGAGGUAUAAUUGUGGCCUAUUUGUCUCACUAUGAAUCUAGGUUUACUUUACCCAUUUCAUCCUUCUAAUGUGUCUAAUGAAGAACACUCUUUCCACACCUACCAAAUACAACUAUACUCACUCUCUGCUUCCCAUCAAUAUCACCAAAAUUCUGCCUCUAAACAAACUGACCUUCUUGUGAGCAUUUCAGCGAGCACUUUGUGUGCAUUAGCAUUAAAGCCAGAGCUUCCACACGCAACAAACCCAAACCUGCCUAUUUCAUUAUAGCUUCGGUUCCAAACCUAUCUUAACCCAAG
rnacentral:lncRNA from 1 species